rnacentral:lncRNA from 1 species
UUUUGAUAAGUAAAGAAAAUUCAUUUAUAAAGAGACGCCAAAGGAGCGACUCAAGGUAUACAACCUAUGUAAAGUAUACAAACCUAUACACCCACCACCAAAAGAGGCCAAAGACAAAUAAGAGACCCACCAACCAAAAGGCCCAAAAACCUUACAAUGAUCCCAACCAAUCUAUAAAAUUCACCAAAGUUUGAGGGCAUUCUACUAUAAAUAGCUUUGCCUCAGACCAAAGCGAGCAUAAAAAGGAAUAUUUCAAUCUCUGUAUUGAUAUUUCAUCAUCCUUGAAAGCUAAUCGAUUUCUCGCCUUCCAAACCGUCCAAAAAAUAUGCAGGGGAGCCGCUCUCCACACUUUCCUGUGUUUCUUGCCCACAGAAGAAGUCUGCUAACUAAGCAAAGUCUCUCUAACUGAACACGGCAACACCAAAGACACCCCAAACAAAGAAAAAAGCAACUCCCAUAAGACCCUUGUUUUUGAGCAGUGGAGAAGCAGAUGAUCUAUGGUCUCCUCCUUUUCAAUACACAUGAAACAUCUAUUCGCCAAUGACCAUCCUCUUCUCUGAACAAGAUCUAGGGUUAGCGCCUUACCCCAUGCGGCCUCCCACGCAAAAAAGCUGAUUUUGGGUUGUACCCACGCCUUCCAAAUACAGCUAGAUGGAAAAGAAAUAGGGCAGUCCUCUUUUAGAGCAAGGUAUAGAGACUCAGCCGAGAAAAUGCCGCUCUUUGUUUCAGUCCAAAUAGCCUUAUCAUCUACGUCUCCAAGGACUCUCUUCCCGUGAAGACACCCCAAAAAUAAUUCCGCCUCCUCCACCUCCCAAUCGUUUAGGGCUCUUGAAAAACAAGGGUUCCAACCCCCCCUACCCCCCUGCACCAAGGGAUCCCAAACAUCCGCCACCCAAGCUUCCUUUUCAAUCGAUAAGGCAUAGAGGGAAGGAAACGACUCACACAGAGGGGCAUCCCCACACCAUCUAUCCCUCCAAAACCUCACCCUCCUUCCAUUGCCAACACUAAAACAAAUCCGCGCACCCACCAAAUCCCAGUCCAUUCUUAUUCCCUUCCAAAGCCCCACGCCAUGCGCCUCUCUCACUUCCCGAGUGCACCAACCCCCUCUAUCUUCCCCAUACUUCCCUCUAAUCACUUGAUUCCACAAAGCCUCUCUCUCGUUUGCAAAACGCCAAUUCCUUUUAGAAAGGAGUACCUUAUUGAGAAUGGCAAGGCAUUUGAUCCCUAAACCCCCUUUCUUCUUGCUUAAGCACACCACCUUCCAUCUUACUAAAUGUGGUUUUCGCUCCAAACUGCCACCGCCCCAAAGAAAAUCCUUUUGGAUUUGCUCUAGUCUUCUUCUAACUGAACUUGGUAAUCUCAGGACAGACAUAUAGUAAAUGGGAAGAUUUGACAAAGUACUUCGGAUCAAGGUUGCUCUUCCUCCCUUGGAUAAGUAUUGUCUCUUCCACAUAGUCAAUCUUUUGCUGAACCGCUCUUCCACUCCAUCCCACACUGCCAUUGACUUAAACGGAGCACCCAAAGGAAGACCCAAAUAAGUGGACGGGAGACUACCCACUUUACAUCCAAAGUCCAAGGCAAGAUCAUCAAUAUCCACUACCCUCCCUACUGGAAUGAGUUCACUCUUGUCCAAGUUAAUUCUCAUCCCCGAAGCGACCUCAAACCACAUUAGCAGCCAACUUAGGUAAGUCAGCUGAUCUUGGGAGGCUUGGCAGAACACCAAAGUGUCAGCGGUAAACAACAAGUGUGAAAUCUGAAUCCCACCUUCAUUCCUUCCCUUCACCUGACAGCCCGAAAUAUAACCAUUGUCCACAACCCUUUUAAGGAACGAGCUGAAGACCUCCAUGGCAAUCAAAAAGAGAUAAGGCGAGAGAGGAUCACCUUGCCUUAAACCCCUUGAGCUUUGGAAAAAACCCUUAGGCGUUCCAUUAAUCAACACAGAGAAACUUGCAGUGGAUAUGCACCACUUGAUCCACUCUAACCAUUUCUCCCCAAAACCCAUUUUCUGCAUUACUGUAAGAAGAAAGGACCAAUCCACAUUGUCAUAUGCCUUCUCUAUGUCAAGUUUGCACAAGAUCCCAUUUUCAUUGUUCUUUAGAAUCGAGUUGAUGGCUUCAUUAGCUAUUAGCACCGCAUCUAGAAUUUGUCUCCCCUCCACAAAAGCCCCUUGAGCCUUAGAAACCACCUUUCCAACCGCUCUUUUAAGUCUAUUGGCUAAAACCUUAGCCAACCACUUGUAUAGGCUUUCCACUGAACUUAUGGGCCUGAAAUCCCUCAAAUCCUCAGCCCCCAUUUUUUUUGGGAUUAAAACCAAAAAAGUUGUAUUUAACCUUUUAACAAAUUUACCAUGUUCAUGAAACUCCCUAAAGAAUCUCAACACAUCUUCCUUCACAAAAUCCCAUGCAAACUGCCAAAAAGACAUUGUAAAUCCAUCAGGACCCGGGGCUUUGUCCCCACUACAACCUACUAGCGCACCGUGUACCUCUUCUUCCGUGAACGACACCUCUAAAGGCAUCAGCAUCCAGGUUCUGUAGCUGUUCACACUGCAGUCCAGCCAACGAAGGGCGCCAUUCCCCCGGAUUGGACGACAAGGUUCUAAAGGCAUUUACUAUCCCUUCACUCAUCCCAUUCUCCUCCGACUUCCAAACACCAUUAAUUCUUAUUCGUUCCAUGUUGUUUCUUCUCCUGUGAGCAUUUGCCAUCCUGUGGAAGAAGCUCGUAUUUCUGUCCCCUUCUUUCAACCACACUUCCCUAGAUUUUUGUCUCCAAGUAACCUCUUCUAAAAGAACCCAUUUUUUGUAUUCUUCCCUCGCCUCUCUUCUAGCCUCCAUCUCUUCCAACGUCAAUCGGCUUGUCUUCUCCUUUGCAUCCCAGAACUGCAUCUGAUCCAAAGCAACAUUUUUCCUAUACUCCACCUUGCCAAAAACGUCUCUGUUCCACUCCUUCAGUUUAGUCUUCACCACCUUUAGUUUUUCAGCCAGAACAAAGCUUGCAGCACCAUUAAAGUUAUCCCCCUCCUACCAGGCUUUCAAUAAAUCCUUAAACCCCUCCACCUUAAGCCACAUGUUCUCAAAUCUGAAAGGGGAUGGUCCAUUUCUCAAGCCCCCUCCUUCUAACAGAAUUGGGAAAUGGUCUGACACUGGUCUCAGUAGAACGCUUUGCCUUGAAUGGCUAAAACGGCAAUCCCACCCUUCAUUGACCAAGAUCUAUCUAGUCUUGAAAGGGUUUGGUUGUUCACCCCUCNCUCCAGUGAAAGGACCCCCAAACAGANNNNNNNNNNNNNNNNNNNNNNNNNNNNNNNNNNNNNNNNNNNNNNNNNNNNNNNNNNNNNNNNNNNNNNNNNNNNNNNNNNNNNNNNNNNNNNNNNNNNGGUUUGGUUGUUCACCCCUCCACUCCAAGUGAAAGGACCCCCAAACAGAGGCAAGUCCUUUAACUGUAAUUCUUCUAUUACAUCUGCGAAUCUUCUCAUAUCUGAAUUAAAGCUCCCUCCUCUACUACGCUCUUCAGGACUUAGGAUAGCAUUAAAAUCCCCAGCAACACACCACGGCCCAUUCCAAAGGCCGUAGAUGGCCCCCAGCUCAUUCCAAAGACUUUCCCUAUCUCUCCUCUUAGUCGGACCAUAAACCCCUGUGAAGGUCCACGUAAAGCCAUCCUCACAAUUUUUAAAAUGGCAGGAAAUUGAACAUUCUCCCUUUUCUAGCUCGAUCAUCUCCAGCACCCUAUUAUCCCAAAACACCACUAUGUCGCCCGCUGAUCCCCUUGAGUCCACAGUUCCCCAAUCUAAGAACCUUCCCACCCCUAUACUCCGAAUAAUCCCUCUUGUCAUCUCCUGUAUUUUUGUUUCCUGCAAACAAACCAAGUCCACCUUAUUCUUCUUAAUCAAGGCUUUAAUCACCUUUUUCUUGUCACAAUUAUUUGCCCCUCUAACAUUCCAAGAUAGAAUUCGGAUCUUCAUUUAAUUUUGGAAGAACUGCCCCCCCCCCCCCCCCCCCCCCUUCUCCUCCAAUGUAAUUCACGGUCCAUUCCAACUUCCUCAAUUCCCUUUCGAAUUUGGAGGAUUCCAUUUUUCUCUUUUUCCUACCAGCCAGGUUCCCCUUUUUCCCCUUCUGAAGUUUUCUUUCUUUCAUUCUUUUGAGCAGAAGCAGAAUCUCUCCUUCAAAGCCCUCCGUCGGCAUCCCGAGGCAUCGGCUGAACCUAGCCAAGCAACUGGACUGCCAACACUGCUCACCCACUUCGUUUCUCUCUUCCAUAAUUUCCUGAUUAUCCCAUCCCACCACUUUGUCUACCUCCUUUCCAACAGUCCCGAGAGCCAUCCCCGGCGACCCUAGGACCUCUGCCUCCCUUCCAUCCGCCAUAAUCAUCCUUAGAGGGUCCAUGUCUAUUCCCCGAAGUCACUGCCCCCAACUGAAUCGACAAUCAUCUCGUCCCACCCAGAAAGAGAAGAAGAAGAAUAGAGAACCCGCUCCCCAAACGAAAAAAACAUCCCGAGGACAAGAAGAUGUGUACCUGGCCGCCUCCUCCUUUAGAACUUCGUCGGUAAGCUCUUUGAAGUUACAACCCGGAGAGGACGAGCCCUGUAGGGCGCCGACCAAAACCCUAUCAGGCCACCCAUAUGCCUCCUCCCGACAAGCCUCGCGAGCCCUAACACCAGCGGGAACUAUGGGAUAAGAGAUGGGAUGCCCAAACCCAGCUGAGCCCUUAUGUGGAACCAACUGGGGGCGGCCCAUUUCUUUUGCAGGAAUAUUUGGUAAUGGGCCUAAAUGGGGCGGCCCACAUACCUCAAGUCGGUCCUCCUCAGUUGGCCCCUUCUGGGCUUUUGGCUUUGUCACUUUUAAAGGUGGGCCUAAGAGAUCCAGCCCACUAACUUCUUUGAUGGCCACCGGGAUCUCCUCACUGGGCCUCCUCUCCGCUUCUGAAUCCAGGACCCAGCCUGACCUACCAUUAGCUUUAACUGCAGGCCCAACUUUUGGCAAAUUCUCCCCACCAUCCUUCUGCCUCUCUGCCACUGCCCCUCUUGUCUGUAUCAUGUCAGAAGAAGUAGUCUCCAAGGCUGGUCUGCAGCUACUUUCUCCAUCUUCAGACGGCACUGCCAUCUUUUCAAGUUGUCCCUUUGCUUGCACCAUUUCCACCGCACAACCAGCGCGUGUCUUCCCCCCUUCUUCUUCCCUAACCUCCAACUUCUUCCCCGUCCCAAAUCUGCUAGCUGGAAUCACAUCAGUCACCCUUGGCAACAUCUCCCACCAAAGUUGAAUAGCGUAACAGGUAGUGCCGAUUACCACUUGCAGAGAGCUUGGCCCUUCUAUCCCCUCCAAUUUCACCAAUAUUCUGGCCCAUUGUAGCUCCUUUAAUGCACCGGUACUUUCAUCCACUGCAACAAAUCCCCCACAACAGUCUCCAAUCUUUUUAAACACUUCCCGGCUCCAGAGAUGCAGUGGUAAUCCCAUCACUCUCACCCAAACUUCCUUAACUUGUUCGCGACUCUGAGAACAUCCCACACUUGGGUCCCAUCUUUCCAAAUGUAUAACCGAUUCCUUAAAGCGCCGGAAGCCUCGUUGUAACACAUUAUUUGCCUCUGCUUUUAACUCAAACACAAUCAGAAAACAAAAGCCCCCCAUCCUUGCUAUCCUCAUUCCUCCUUGGAGUUUCCAGUGAUGUUUUCCCCACUUUUCCAUAUCUCUCAAGUUAGAAUCCAUAACCCCCGUCUCUCCCCAACUCCCAACCAAGCAGCGGUCCAAAAACUCCCUUCCUUUUGCCACAUCUUCUUCUCCCAGUUGAAUCCACACUGCCUCCCCUAGCCUUUUUUCUCUUGGAACUUCUCUUGUAUUCACUACUUCAACGUAGGAUUUCUCUUUCUUCCCCUAGAAGCCCCAACUUUGCUCUCAGUCUUAUGGGAUAUAUCUGCUUCCCUAGUCUCAUCUCUUGACAAUAUUCCUAUUGAGCGAAGUUUUUCAGCCAGCAAGGCCCAUCCUCCCAAAAAACCUUUACCUUCCGGGAACACCAAGCAAUGUCUCUUUGCUUCCGAAUCAACCACAGAACAUAAUAAAAACCUACCGGCAUCAUUUGUUCAACAUUCUAGUCUGAACUUCCUACCUCCAUCCUCCCACCUUUUUACAAAACUCUGCCCACCCUCACCCCUACAACUAGUCUCCACUCCCUCCAACAGCCAGCCCAAGCUGGACUCCCCAAAUCUGAUCCACGAAGUGAAGCCUCUGCUUCUUUCCACAAUAAUCCCCCUUUGUUUCUUCCCAAACACCUCCACAGAGAUUUCAAAAGUCUUUGAGUCUAUUGCAAACCAGCAGCUCCCACCUCUUUCCCCCCCCCCCCCUACCAUUCUACCUACCUAUCCACCAAUUAUAUAUUCACAUAAUAUAUAUAUAUACACACACGCACAUUGAAUUUUCCUUCUUUCUUUCUUUUUUUAACAGGCCUUAUGAUCAGGCCAAACAGUUGAGCCAGUUGAUCCAUGGGCUGUUGAUGAGCCAAAAGAGACUUUAGCUUGUCAUGCUCUUUGUUAGAAACCUGAAUUUUCCUAUUUGAGGUCUCUUGUAUAUAUUUAUGUAAUAUAUAGUUGUAAAUUAGAUUAGGAAAGUGUGUAUUAAGAAGAAUAAUCUCUGAUUUAUAAGGAUUGUCCUGAUUUAUAGGGAUUAUUAGUUUAUUUUUUUUCCUUAAAUUUCUUUGUAAAUAUAGGAUAUAAAUAGCUGAUUGAAUAAGAAUUUUUACCACUUUCUCCCACAUGGUAUCAGAGCCACUUUGACAGUCUUCAUCAGCCUUCAUUGCUGAUUUUAGUUCAAGUUUUUCAGCCUUCAUUUCUGAAGAUUUCAAGCCUAAUUCUUUCAGCCUUCAUUGCUGUGUGUUUUGUUUAUUUCUUUUUUCAUCUUUCAUCCGUUCUACCUGCAAUUUUUGGGAUUUCACCAUGUCUAAUAUGCUUGAGACUUUUGCCACACCCAUAGCUCUCUUUGGUGAAACUUUGCCUCAUCAAACCAUUGGAGAGUUAUAGAAUAUCAAUUCAGCGUAUCGGUUGAAUGGCUGAAACUAUCUCUAAUGGUCUCAACUAGUGCGAACUGUUUUGAAAGGGAAAGACAAACUAAGUCAUCUAAUCGGCAUAGGUCUAGGGCUUGAAGAUCCGAAGUUUAAUCAGUGGGAUGAAGAGGAUUCCAUGAUUAUGUCUUGGUUAUGGAAUUCUAUGUUGCCCAAAAUCAGUGGCAUUUGUAUGUUCCUCACCAUGGCUACAAAGAUUUGGGAGACAGUAAGACAAACUUAUUCUAAGGUACGUGAUGCGGCUUAGAUCUAUGAAAUUAAGCAAAAAAUUUCAACCACUAAACAGGGAACAAGAUCGGUGAUUGAAUAUUAUAAUCUCAUGAAAAGUCUUUGGCAAGAAAUGGAUUAUUACCAAAAUCUUCUAAUGAAAUGUAGUGAAGAUGCCACAAUGUUAAGAAGGUUUGUUGAUAGGGAGCGGAUUUUCAAGUUUCUUGUUGGCCUUAAUAUUGAAUUUGAUCAAGUUCGAGUUUUGUUGGAAAACCGAAACUGAUAUGAAAAGAAAUAACUUUGUAAAGCUGUAAAUUAUUUAUUAGUUGUCAAUUUUUGUAUUUUUAGGAAAGUAAUUAUUAGGAGUUAUUUAUUAGUUGUCAAUCUUUGUAUUUUUAGGAAAGUAAUUGUUAGGAGUUAUUCUUUCCUUUUAAUCAGUGAUUUAGUUUCCUAAUUUGAAGGAUUUGUAUAUGCUGUAAACUCUAUAAAAGAAUAAUCUCAAUGAAAGAAAAUUAUUCCCGUGAAACCCUAUUCUUCAACUUGGUAUCAGAGCUAGCAAUUUGCUUGCCGAAAUCCUCCUUUUUCCUCUCUUUCAAUCCCUGUUCUCUAAAACCAUGUCGGAUAUUUCAAACGAGUCCACUAUUGUUCCUCAACCUUCUCUGAACAAUCCCAUCAUCACUGAUUCUUCAAAAAUCAGUCCUACCACCUCGGAAUCUCACUCUGUCCAAAUCACCACAAUUCGCUUGAAUGGUGACAACUUUCUGAGAUGGUCUCAAUCAGUUUGGAUGUACAUCAGAGGACGUGGAAAGAUGGGCUACCUAACGGGUGAAAAGAAGGCUCCUACAGUGGAUGAUCCGAACUAUGCUAUAUGGGAUGCUGAGAAUUCCAUGGUGAUGACAUGGCUUGUGAAUUCUAUGGAAGAAGACAUUAGCUCUAAUUACAUGUGCUAUCCAACAACACAAGAGCUUUGGGAGAAUGUAAAUCAGAUGUAUUCUGAUUUAGGGAAUCAAUCACAGUUCUUUGAAAUUAACCCUCAAACUUGGUGAAAUACGACAAGGGGAGGACAACGUCACAAAGUACUUCAACUCCUUGAAGCGGAUUUGGCAAGACCUUGACCUUUUCAACACCUAUGAGUGGAAAUCUGCCGAGGAUGGACUUCAUCAUAAGAAGACCAUGGAAGACAAUCGGAUCUUCAAGUUCUUGGCUGGCCUUAAUGUCGAGUUUGAUAAGGUAAGGGGGAGAAUCAUUGGAAGACAACCCCUGCCUUCAAUUGGUGAAGUUUUUUCAAAAGUUAGAAGAGAAGAGAGUCGGAGGAAUGUGAUGCUGGGCAAGAAGGGACCUGGAGUUGCUAUUGAAGGUUCAGCCUUGGUUACCAUGGGUGGAGGCUAUAAUAAAGCUGCUGCGUUUCAGCGCAAAUCAGAUGAAAGACCACGGGUUUGGUGUGAUUUUUGCAACAAACCUCGCCAUACUCGUGAGAACUGUUGGAAAAUCCAUAGGAAACCUGCAAAUUGGAAAGGAAAAAUAGGUGACAAACCAGGCCGAGCCAUUAUUCCUACUGCUAAUGAGGUUGAGACCAACCCCUUCACCACUGAGCAAAUGGAGCCUCUUCUUGCACCGCUGAAAUCCAACUUCACAUUCGGUACUUCUAGUGUUUCUUUGGCACACACAGGUAAUGAAUUAUAUGCUCUAUCUUGUCGUUUUAAAUCUACUCCAUGAAUAAUCUACUCCACGAAGGGAAGAAGAUGAUGCAGUGAGAAAGGGGAAAGCUUCUGAGGUUCAGACGAGAGGCUCUACGAAGAAGGAAGAAAAGUUCGGUUCAAAGAAGCUGUGGACUACCCUUUUUCCUCCAAGUUUUGAUUGCCGACAAGGACUUCAAAGCCGCAGCAAGCCUCUUUUGCUUGGGAAGUCAUCGUCAGAUAGCGAAGAAUGUCAAAAGGAAGAGGAUUUUGGGGCGGGAUCUCAGAUGGAAUGAGGAUUUAGAGUGAGUCUUUUCUUUCACUGUCAAUCGUCAAGGUAUCGAAAUCAGUGUUCGGGGGAAGGGACCUCGUCGUCAAAAGGCGAAGCGGGUUUGCGCAAACCCCAUUUCGAAGAAGACAAAGACGGUUUUUUGGGCCAAGUGGGGUCCGAUCUUCGUGGUUCAUCAGUCACGCAUUUGCCUUCUAAUCCAAAAAUCAGAGGUAAAGGGGUCAACUUUAAGGGGAAUUGUGAAAUGUCGGUAGUGGAAAACAUGGAGGUAUUCCUGUCUUCACCUUCUCAGUCACCCGAGUCUUCUUCUCUUCCUUCUUGUGGCUUGGCACUUCCUUUGCCGAGUCCCUCUGGUCUAGAUCUUCCUAGUUCAAUCUCUCAUUCUCAGUCUCCUAUGGAAAACCGAGUAAUUUCUAAAAUUUUUUCUAAAAAAGACGUUGGCACUUUUUAUCAAAAAUAUGUUGGCAAUCCUAUCCGAGAUGAGGUGGAGGCCCAGUUUGCUUAUUCAAACCAGUUGUCCGAGGGUUUUAACCCUAGUAAGUCUAAACCCAAUCUGCCUAAGGAGGUUUCCAACCUGGUUUCAGUUAGCCAGGGUGAUACUGUGGUCUCCCCAUCAGGCGAGUUCCAAUUAGAUGGCCUGUCCCCUAGGAAAAUGGCUAAAGUGCGUGAGGUUUUAAGUUUUCUGGAUAUUAAGGUUUAUUCUAGGAGGAAGAGUAGAUGCUCCACAGGUAUGUGAGACUUGGUGGAACUGGUUUGGUGGUUUAGGGUCUGUGAGGUUUAUCCAUGAAAAUAAUAAGUUGGAAUACCAGGGGUUUGGGAUCAAGGAAUAAGGGAAGGGUGGUUAAAGAUUUUCUGAGGUCAGAGAAUUCGGAUGUUGUGAUGAUUCAGGAAACAAAAAAGGUGGAGUGUGAUAGAAGGUUCGUGGGUAGUGUUUGGACAGUUAGAAAUAAGGAAUGGGUUGCUCUUCUGACGUGCAGGGCUUCAGGUGGGAUUUUGAUUAUUUGGGACUCUAAAAAUCUGCGCAGUGAGGAGGUGGUGAUAGGAUCCUUUUCGGUCUCAGUCAAGUUUGCUUUGGAUGGUUGUGGACCUUUUUGGCUAUCCACAAUUUAUGGCCCAAACAACCCCUCAUUUAGGAAGGAUUUUUGGGUGGAGCUUUUAGACAUUUUUGGCCUAUUUUUCCGUUAUGGUGUGUGGGCGGUAAUUUUAAUGUCAUAAGGAGAAGUUCAGAAAAAUUGGGUGGUUCUAGUUUAACUUCAAGCGUGAAGGACUUUGGUGGUUUUAUAAGAGAAUGUGAAUUGCUUGAUCCACCUUUACGGAACGCAUCAUUCACUUGGUCAAACAUGCAAGAGUCCCCCGUGUGUAAGAGAUUGGAUAGUUUUCUUUACUCAAAUGAGUGGGGGCAUUUCUUUCCUCAAAGCCUUCAAGAAGCUCUUCCUAGAAGGACAUCGGAUCAUUGGUCGAUUAUUUUGGAUACCAAUCCAUUCAAGUGGGGCCUAACUCCUUUUAGGUUUGAGAAUAUGUGGUUGCAACAUCCUAGUUUCAAGGAGAGUUUUAGAAGUUGGUGGAGAGGUUUUCAAGGAAAUGGGUGGGAAGGUCACAAGUUCAUGAGAAGAUUACAAUUUGUUAAAGCUAAAUUGAAAUAGUGGAAUAAGGUUUCUUUUGGAGAGCUAAAUGAAAGGAAAAAAAGCAUCCUCAAUGAUAUAGCUAACUUUGAUGCCAUUGAGCAAGUAGGGGGUCUCACUUCUGAACUUUUAGUUCAAAGAGCCUUAAGAAAAGGGGAGCUAGAGGAAUUAAUUUUGAGGGAAUAAAUUUAUUGGAGACAAAAAGCUAGGGUGAAAUGAGUUAAGGAAAGGGAUUGUAACUCAAAAGUUUUCUCAUAAAGUGGCUAAUGGUAGACAAAAUAGGAAAUUUAUUAAGGCAUUGGAGAAUGAAAGUGGCUUAGAGUUGAAUAAUCCCGAGAGCAUCACAGAGGAGAUUUUACUGUACUUUGAAAAGCUCUACGUGAGUCCUAUUGGAGAGUCUUGGAGUGUUGAAGGUUUAGAUUGGUCCCCUAUUUCGGAAGAGAGUGCGUCUAGGUUGGACUCCUUUUUCACUGAAGAAGAGAUUUCUAAGGCCAUUUUUCAGUUGGAUAGGGAUAAGGUGCCGGGGCCUGAUGGUUUUACCAUUGCAGUAUUUCAAGAUUGUUGGGAUGUGAUCAAGGAGGAUUUAGUGAGAGUGUUUGCAGAGUUUCACAGAAGCGGGAUUAUCAAUCAAAGCACUAAUGCCUCCUUCAUAGUUCUAUUACCCAAAAAAAGCUUGACAAAGAAAAUUUCAGACUUUAGACCUAUUAGCUUGAUCACUAGUCUCUACAAGAUAAUAACCAAAGUGCUUUCAAGGAGUAUAAGAGGGGUACUACAUGAAACCAUCCAUUCUAGUCAAGGCUCUUAUGUUCAAGGGAGACAAAUAUUGGAUGCGGUUCUCAUAGCCAAUGAGAUAGUGGAUGAGAAAAGACGAUCAGGGGAGGAAGGAGUCGUCUUCAAAAUUGACUUUGAAAAGGCUUACGACCAUGUAAGUUGGGAUUUUUGGGAUCAUGUGCUGGAGAAGAAGGGGUUUAGUCCUAGAUGGAGGAAAUGGAUGAGUGGUUGUUUGUCCAUGGUAUCUUAUGCAGUCUUGGUGAAUGGAAAUGCUAAAGGGUGGGUUAAGGCAUCUAGAGGCUUAAGACAAGGCAACCCUUUAUCCCCUUUUAUGUUCACUUUAGUCGUAGAUGUACUGAGCAGGAUGUUAUUGAGAGCAGAGGAAAGAAAUUCGUUGGAGGGUUUCAGGAUAGGUAAGAAUAGAACUAGGGUGUCCCAUUUGCAAUUUGCAGAUGAUACCAUUUUCUUUUCUAACACUAGGGAGGAAGAAUUGUAGACUCUCAAGAGUCUACUGCUAGUGUUUGGGCAUAUUUCUAGGCUCAAGGUCAACCUUGACAAGAGUAAUAUUUAUGGCAUCAAUCUUGAUCAGAAUCAUCUUUCUAGGUUGGCAGAGUUGCUUGAUUGCAAGACUUCUGGUUGGCCUAUACUCUAUCUGGGUCUUCCUUUGGGAGGGAAUCCUAAGACUUGUGGCUUUUGGGAUCCCAGUGAUUGAGAGGAUCUCGAGAAGAUUUGAUGGGUGGCAAAAGGCUUAUUUAUCUUUUGGAGGAAGGGUAACUCUUGUCCAAUCUUGUCUCACCCACAUGCCCCGUUACUUCCUUUCCUUGUUUAAGAUACCCGUUUCAGUGGCUACAAAAAUUGAGAGAUUGCAAAGGGAUUUUUUAUGGUCAGGGGUUGGGGAAGGUAAAAGAGAUCAUCUAGUUAGUUGGGAUGUAGUGUGUAACCCGACGGCAAAAGGGGGAUUGGGAUUUGGGAAGAUUUCUCUAAGGAAUCUUGCGCUCUUAGGGAAAUGGUUGUGGAGGUACCCUAGAGAGGGUUCAGCUCUAUGACAUCAGGUUAUUUUAAGCAUUUAUGGAUCACACUCUAAUGGUUAGGAUGCUAACACUAUUGCACAAGUCUUUCAGGAGUUUUCCAAGUUUACUCGGUUUGUGGUAGGAGAUGGGGAAAGAAUUCGGUUCUAGGAAGAUUUGUGAUGGGGGGACCAACCUUUGGGAUCCCAAUAUCUAAGACUAUUUGGAGUAGUCUUGGAUAAAAAUAUUUCUAUUUCUUCAAUUCUUGAUUCUACUCGCCCUUUCUCUUGGAACUUUAAUUUCCAUCGUAACCUUUCCGAUUCUGAGAUAGAAGAUUUAGAAGGUCUCAUGCGGUCUCUUGAUGGUUUGCAUUUAUCACCUUCGGUUUUAGAUGCGAGAUCUUGACCUUUAUCUUCUUCAGGGCUUUUCUCAGUCAAAUCUUUCUUUUUAGCCUUAUCCCAAUCUUCUAGUUCUCCUAUAGUUUUCCCCACUAAGUUCGUUUGGAAUUCUCAAGUCCCUUUCAAAGGCAAGUCCUUUGUUUGGUUAGUGGCACACAAGAAGGUAAAUACUAAUGACUUGCUACAAUUGAGAAGACCCUACAAAGCUUUUAGUCCUGAUAUUUGUAAUCUAUGCAUGAAGCAUGGAGAAUCAGUAGAUCAUCUUUUCCUACAUUGCUCUUUCACGAUGGGGUUGUGGCACAGAUUAUUUCAGUUAGCCAACUUGGAUUGGGUCCCCCCGAGGAGCAUCUUUGACAUGUUGUCCAUCAAUUAUAAUGGUUUUAGUUUAUCUAAGAGAGGGAUAGUUUUGUGGUAAGUUGCGAGCUUCGCUUUAAUUUGGGUUGUAUGGCGAGAAGGAAACUCGAGGAUUUUUGAGGAGAAAGCAAGGAAUUCAGAGUAUCUUUGGGAUUCUAUUCAUUUCCUUGCUUCUCUUUGGGCUUUCUGUUUCAAGGUUUUUAAGGGGAUUCCCCUUAAUGGAUUGGGUCCCCCCGAGGAGCAUCCUUGACAUGAUGUACAUCAAAUUUAAUGGAUUUGGUUCGUCUAAGAGGGGGAUAGCCUUGUGGCAAGCUGCAAACAUCGCUCUUAUUCAGAUUGUGUGGAGGGAAAGAAAUGCGAGAAUUUUUGAGGAUAAAGCAAGGAAUUCAGAGUUUCUUUGGGACUCUAUUGUUUUCUUUGCUUUUCUUUGGGCUUAUUAUUCCAAGGUUUUUAAGGGGACUCCCCUUAAUGUGAUACAACUUGAUUGGAUAGCAGUGUGUACUCCAUAAGGAGUGGUCUUUUUAAAAGUGUUUGCUUGUUUUUCAGUGUAUUUUUCUAUAGUUUAGCUUUCUUUGGCAGGAGGAUUCCUCAUCCUUCUUUUGUACUUAUUUUUAUCUAUCAAUAAAUCUUUGUGUCGUUUCCAAUAAAAAAAAGAGGAUUCCCCUUAAUGUGUUACAACUUGACUGGUUAGCGGUGUGCAAUUCAAAAGGGUUGGUUUAACCUAGAGAGUUUGUUUGUUUUUUCUAUGUAUUUUCUUGUUUUUGUUUUCUUGUAGUUUAGUUUUCUUUGGUGGGAGGAUUUCUCAUCCUUCUCUUGUACUUCUUUUUUCUUUCAAUAUAUCCCUUUGUCGUUUCCUAUAAAUAAAAAAUAAAAAAAAAAUCUGAUGAGAGUGCGUCUAGGUUGGACUCCCCUUUUACUGAAGAAGAGAUUUAUAAGGCCAUUUUUCAGUUGGAUAGAGAUAAGGCACCGGGUCCUGAUGACUUUACCAUUGCAGUGUUUCAAGAUUGUUGGGAUGUGAUCAAAGAGGAUUUAGUGAGAGUAUUUGCAGAGUUUCACAGUAGCGGGAUUAUCAAUCAAAGCACUAAUGCCUCUUUCAUACUUCUGUUGCCCAAAAAAAGCAUGACAAAGAAAAUCUUAGACUUUAGACCUAUUAGCUUUGAUCACUAGCCUUUACAAGAUAAUAACCAAAGUGUUAUCAGGGCAUCUAAGAGGGGUACUACAUGAAACUAUUCAUUCUACUAAGGCGCGUUUGUUCAAGAGAGACAAAUAUUGGAUGCAGUUCUCAUAGGCAAUGAGAUAGUGGAUGAGAAAAGACGUUCAGGAGAGGAAGGAGUUGUAUUCAAAAUCGACUUUGAAAAGGCUUACGACCAUGUGAGUUGGGAUUUUUUGGAUCAUGUGUUGGAAAAGAAGGGGUAUAGUCCUAGGUGGAGGAAAUGGAUGAGAGGUUGUUUGUCCACGGUAUCUUUUGCAGUCUUAGUGAAUGGAAAUGCUAAAGAGUGGGUCAAGGCGUCUAGAGGUUUAAGACAAGGCAACCCUUUGUCCCAUUUUUUGUUUACUUUAGUCGCAGAUGUACUGAGCAGGAUGUUAUUGGGAGUAGAGGAAAGAAAUUCGUUGGAGGGUUUCAGGGUGGGUAGGAACAGUAUAAGGGUGUCCCAUUUACAAUUUGCAGAUGAUACCAUUUUCUUUUCUAACACUAGGGGGGAAGAAUUGUAGACUCUCAAGAGUCUAUUGCUAGUGUUUGGGCAUAUUUCUAGGCUCAAGGUCAACCUUGACAAGAGUAAUAUUUAUGGCAUCAAUCUUGAUCAGAAUCAUCUUUCUAGGUUGGCUAAGUUGCUUGAUUGCAAGGCUUCUGGUUGGCCUAUACUCUAUUUGGGUCUUCCUUUGAGAGGGAAUCCUAAGGCUUGUGGCUUUUGGGAUCCAGUGAUUGAGAGGAUCUCGAGAAGAUUAGAUGGGUGGCAAAAGGCUUAUUUAUCGUUUGGAGGUAGGAUAACUCUUAUCCAAUCUUGCCUCACCCACAUGCCUUGCUACUUCCUUUCCUUGUUUAAGAUACCUGCUUCAGUGGCUGCAAAAAUUGAGAGAUUGCAAAGGGAUUUUUUAUGGUCAGGGGUUAGGGAAGGUAAAAGAGAUCAUCUAGUUAGUUGGGAUGUAGUAUGUAAGUCGAAGGCAAAAGGGGGUUUGGGAUUUGGAAAGAUUGUUCUAAGGAAUGUCGCUCUCUUAGGGAAAUGGUUGUGGAGGUACCCUAGGGAGGGUUCAGCUCUAUGGCAUCAGGUUAUUUUAAGCAUUUACGGAUCAUACUCUAAUGGUUGGGAUGCCAACACCAUAGUCAGAUGGUUACAUCGUUGUCCUUGGAAGGCUAUUGCACAAGUCUUUCAGGAGUUUUCCAAGUUUACUUGGUUUGUGGUAGGAGAUGGGGAAAGAAUUCGGUUCUGGGAAGACUUGUGGUGGGGGGAUCAACCUUUGGGAUCCCAAUAUCCAAGACUAUUUAGAGUAGUCACGGAUAAAAAUAUUCCUAUUUCUUCAAUUCUCGGAUCUACUCGUCCUUUAUCUUGGAACUUUAAUUUUCGCCGCAACCUAUCCAAUUCUGAGAUAGAAGAUUUAGAAGGCCUCAUGCGGUCACUAAAUUGUUUGCAUUUUUCAUCUUCGGUUUUAGAUGCGAGAUCCUGGUCUUUAUCUUCUUCAGGGCUUUUAACAGUUAAAUUUUUCUUUCUUGCCUUAUCCCAAUGUUCUUGCUCUCCUCCAGUUUUCCCUACUAAAUUCGUUUGGAAUUCUCAAAUCCCUUUCAAAGUCAAGUCUUUUGUCUGGUUGGUGGCACAUAAGAAGGUAAAUACUAAUGACUUGCUACAAUUGAAAAGACCCUACAAAGCUCUUAAUCCUGAUAUUUGUAAGUUAUGCAUGAGGCAUGGAGAAUCAGUAGAUCAUCAUUUCCUACAUUGUUCUUUGAUGAUGGGGUUAUGACACAGAUUAUUUCAAUUAGCCAAGAUGGAUUGGGUUCCCCUGAGGAGCAUUUUUGACAUGCUGUCCAUCAAUUACAAUGGUUUUGGUUAAUCUAAGAUAGGGACAGUUUUGUGGCAAGCUGCGUGCAUAGCUAUAAUUUGGGUUGUGUGACGGGAAAGAAACGCGAGGAUCUUUGAGGAUAAAGCAAGGAAUUCAGAGAAUCUUUGGGAUUCUAUUCAUUUCCUUGCUUUUCUUUGGGCUUUUUGUUCCAAGGUCUUUAAGGGGACUCCACUUAUUGUGUUACAACUUGAUUAGCUAGCGGCGUGUAAUUCUUUUGGGUUGGUCUAGUCUAUAGUGUUUGUUCGUUUUCACAUUGUAUUUUCUUGUUUUCAUACUCUUGUAGUUUAGUUUUCUUUGGUGGGAGGAUUUCUCAUCCUUCUCUUGUUCUUCUUUUUUCUAUUAAUAUAUUCCUUUGUCGUUUCCUAUAAAAAAAAAUAUAAAAAAAUGAUUGUACUUGUGUUACUUGGAUCUUCCUUUUAAAACAAAAGUUGGAUGUGAGCAUUUUUUUUCCAAAUUACCAUAAUAUGGUCAAAAAUCAAUUUAGGGUGUCAAUUAAAUGGGUUAGAUCGGAUAAUGCAAAGGACUAUUUCAAUCAAACACUUUCAUCUUAUUUUCAAAAAGAGGGAAUUAUUCAUGAGUCUUCAUGUGUCGAUUCACCCUAACAAAACGGAGUAGCUAAGAGGAAAAAUGGUCACCUACUAAAUGUUACUAGGGCUCUCCUAUUCCCAAAAAAUGUUCCAAAAACCUAUUGGGGGGAGGUUGUUCUUACAAUUGCUCUUUAAAAAAUAGGGUUCCUUCUCGAGUUUUGGGUUUAAAGGAUCCUAUGGAAAUGUUCACAACAUUUUUUCCUUAGUUCAAUACAUCGAGUAAGCUUCCUCCUAAAGUGUUUGUGUGUCCCGUGAUUGUUCAUAUUCAUGCUCAUCAUCAAGGAAAGUUGGAUUCAAGAGCAUUAAAGUGUGUUUUUGUUGGAUAUUCAUUAACACAGAAAUGGUAUAAAUGUUUCCAUCGUCCAACUAAUUGUUUUUUUUUGUUUCCAUGGAUGCCACUUUUGUAGAAACAAAGGGAUAAUUUUCAGUUCCUUAUCUUUAGGGGGAGACACAAUCUAUGAAAGAUAAGGACAUGUUCUUGCUUGAGUUCCCUAACUCUUCCCCAUCCGAACUUUCAAAUACCCCAUCCAAACCUUCAAAUGGAACCCAAAAAGAGUUCAGAAGUCAUGAAAAAGGUCCAAAAAUUUCUAGCACACCUCAAAUAGCUACAACAAUCCCAAAAAUAGUUGAAACCUGCCCUAUUUUAGAUAUUGGAACAACAGAAAAGGAGUCGGAACCGAUUGCUACAAAGCCACUACAAGUUUAUUCAAGGAGGAGGGUGACUAAACGUAGACCCAUGCAAGUCCAAACAUUUGAACCAACUCUUGGAAACGAGGAACACAAUUAUAUUGCUCCUUUUGACUCACAUGAUGAUGUUGACAAUGUUGAUCUUCCUAUUGUCAUUAGGAAAGGUACACGUAAAUGCGUGCAACACUCAUUGUCCAAUUUUGUGUCAUUUGGAAAAUUCUCACCAUCUCAUAAAACUUUUCUUACCCAAAUAAAUUCCAUACCAAUUCCACAAACCUCAACCAAGGCACUUGGUAAUGAGAAAUGGAAACAAGCUAUGAAAGUCGAGAUGGAAGCAUUGGAGAAGAAUGAGACUUGAGAAAUUAUGGAGUUACCAAAAUGGAAGAAAGUAGUGGGUUGCAAGUGGGUAUUUACAGUUAAAUAAAAGACUGAUGGAUCCCUUGAAUGAUAUAAAGCAAGGCUGGUUGCAAAGGGAUACACACAAACAUAAGGAGUGACUAUCAAGAAACUUUUGCACAGGUAGCAAAGAUGAAUAUGAUGAGAAUUUUAUUAUAUUUAGCAGCUCAUUUUGAUUGGAAUUUGCAUCAAUUUGAUGUAAAAAAUGCCUUUCUCCAUGGUGAAAUUGAUGAAGAAAUCUAUAUGGGAGUUUCUUCUGGUUUUGGGGCAAGUUUAGACAAGAAUAAGGUUUAUAGGUUGAAGAAGGCCAAUUAUGGAUUGAAACAAUCUCUUAGAGCAUGGUUUGGAAGAUUUACAAAAGUUAUGUUAUCUCUAGGGUUUAAACAAAGCCAAGGAGAUCACACUUUGUUCAUUAAACAUUUCGAUUCAGGGAGGGUUACAACAUUACUAGUAUAUGUUGAUGACAUAAUCGUGAUCGGGAAUGAUUGAAAAGAAAAAGAGGCACUUCGGCAAUGUCUUGCAAAGGAGUUUGAGAUAAAGGAUUUGGGCAAAGUACAGUACUUUUUGCGAAUUGAAGUGGCAUGGUCAAAAGAGGGUAUUUUUGUAUCACAACACAAAUAUAUCCUUGACUUACUUAAGGAGACGGGAAAGCUUGGAUGUAAACCGAUUGAGACUCCAAUUGAAGCAAAUCAUAAGCUUGGGGAAGCAUUGGAAGACAAAGGAGUGGAUCGAGGUAUGCAUUAAAGGUUAGUGGGAUGAUUGGUUUACUUGUCACACACAAGACCAGAUAUUGCCUAUGCCGUGAAUGUAGUGAGCCAAUUUAUGCAUAAUCUGAAGGAGGUCCACUUACAAGCUAUCUAUAAGAUUUUACAGUAUCUUAAAGGUAGCUCAGGAAUGGGAAUUCUCUUCAGAAAAGGUACGGAUUUGUUCCUUGAAGCUUAUACGGAGGUUGACUAUGUUGGAUCAAUGGUAGGCAAAAGAUCAACAUCAGGUUACUGCACCUUUCUUGGAGGAAACUUAGUAACUUGGAGGAGUAAAAAACAACCAAUGUUGCAAGGUCUAGUGCAGAGGCAAAGUUUAGAGCUAUGGCACAAGGGAUUUGUGAGCUAUUAUGGCUUAAAAUUAUUCUUGAGCGCCUACGGAUUAAAUGGGAAGGACCCAUGAGGUCAUAUUGCGAUAACAAAUUAGCUAUAAACAUUGCUCAUAAUCUGGUACAAUAUGACUGGACAAAGCAUGUUGAGGUUGAUAGACACUUCAUGAAGAAAGUUAGGAAGUGGGUUAAUUUGCACUUCGCUUGUGUUGUCAGAUAGACAACUUGCAGAUAUUUUGACCAAGGGUUUGAUGAGCACAACAUUUCAAGCAAAUAUAAGCAAGUUGGGUAUGGAUAAUAUCUAUUCACCAGCUUGAGGGGGAGUGUAAGAAAUCUAAAUUUUCCUAUUUGAGGCCUCUUGUAUAUAUUUAUGUAAUAUAUAGCUGUAAAUUAGAUUAGGAAAGUGUGUAUAACUAUAAAUCAGAUUAUGAAGAAUAAUCUCUGAUUUUUAAGGAUUGUCCUGAUUUAUAGGGAUUAUUAAUUUAUUUUUUUUCCUUAAAUUUCUUUGUAAAUAUAGGAUAUAAAUUUGGAUUGUAACAGUUGAUUGAAUAAGAAUUUUUUACCACUUUCUCCCACACUCUCCAGGGUGGUUAAUACUCAUUGCAAUGUCACUAAAAUAGCCUAGGUUGUUGAUCCACUUUGACCAGACACUCUGAUUCUAAAUGGAAUCUUUUUAACUGAGAGAGAGAGAGAGAGAGUGGAGAUUCUGUCUCUCGUUAUUUUAUAUCAAUGCUCAUUAUAUUUCUAUCAAUGCCCGAUACCUUUAUAAAAGGUGAUUCUGUCUCUCGUUAUAUUUAUAUCAAUGUCCAAUACCUUUAUAAAAUUCAUUUUUUUCCUCUCAUUUACAAAAUUAUUAUUACUUUGUUCCUUUUUUCCAUUCUAUCUCACACUAUAUUUAUCUCAGCAUCCCAAUACCUUUACAAAAUUCAUUUUUUUCCAUCCUUAUCUGUGCUUAAAUAUGAUGCAUCAUAAAAAUAUUAUGGUACAAGAAAGCAUUCCCUUGCCUUACGAAAUUUAUAUGUUUUUGUUUCCUCAUUUUACCUUAUCUUUGUUUGGCAGAUGGUUUAUGUUUUGUCUAUUUACAACAAGAAAGAGAAGAACCAUCAAAUCAUGGUGCGUGGUUUUUCCAUUCCUUUUCUGUAAAAGUAGUAAAGAUAAUAUCUCUGAUGUCUUUCUUUCUCUUUACAGAUUUUUGGUUAGUGAAGUCAGAUUAAGUGGUUUACGUCAUUCACAUUCUAUUAACUCUCUUUUACUGCACAUUUUUAAUGAAGUAUCCAUAUCAUGUUGUUGUUCUAAGAAAACUUGAUUAUUUUAGUUGUGCUGAAAUUUUUGGGAUAUAUUUUUCUUUACACACAUAGUUAUUUAAUUUUUUCCCCUUUUUUCUUCUUUUCCUAGCAUGGUAUGCAUAUCCUCUAUCCAAGGCUAGCUUAGUUUUUUGAUCUUUUGGGUUGCAAUCUACCAACAUUGAUCUCCCAAAGUUUGAAGCUAUCAGCUCUCUUUGUAAAGUCUCAAAAUAUCUUCUCGUGUAUCAAUCUGCGAACAUUGGUUUAAACUGUGAAUCUCCCUCUGAAAUAUAUAUACAGAGAAAAAUUCCACCAGUAUUUUGUCAUUUUUGUUGUUGUUUCCCAGUGCUGUUGGCUGUUUAUUCAAGUUUUUGCCCUUUCUCACACUUGACAAGGUUUUGUCCUUUUUGCACAUCUGGAAUAUAUUUUUGUUUCUCCUUUAGAAACUAGGAUGAAACAACUCAACAAUGAAGCACUUCACAUAAUUAAGCAUGGAGUCCACAUAAAAAUAUUUUUACUGCAAUCAGCAUGUCAAAUUUUAAGUGGGGAAUCGGCCUCUGCAAUUUCUGAAGUGAGGAUUGUUUGUCAGAAUGUCAUAUGGCUUAUUUUCUUGUCUCCUUUAUUAUCAUGUUUUGUUCUAAUGUCAUUAUGUUUGCAUAUUGAAAGCUGAAAUUUAAUGGACUAUGAAUCUUUGAUGAAGAAAAUUAUUGAAGCGAUGUUCUUUGUUCCAGAUGGCAGCAUUCAAUAUCCAGGAGGCAUUAAUCUGGAAAGAAAAAAUUGAGGCUGUAAUUGAUCAGGUCCGUUUCCUUCAAAUUUCAUGACACUAGAAUCCUUUCUCAUUCAUUCCCCUCCCUCUCCCCCCUCUCUCUCUCUGUCUCCCUCUCCCUCUCUCCCUCUCUUGUUUAAUAAAAAACACAAACACAUGAGUGAUAAUGAGUUGUGUCACUGUAGUGGAUGUUUUUCUCAAAAAUUGUUGCUUCCCAUUCAUUACUUGGGUCAAAACAAAAUUGUUGCUUCCCAUCCAUUACUUUGGUUAAUGGCCAUUAGAUCUGCAAGCAUAUUGAUCUACAGCAUAGUUACAGGUCUUGUUUGGCAUUUUAUAUAAAUCUGUAAGAUUCUGUUAAUUAGACAGGCAACUGUAUUCAGGACUGAUUAUGUAUUGAUGGUGUUCAGCAUCAGGACUCACAAGUUGCAAAUGGAAAUAAAUAUAUUUCAUUUGAAUAUAAAUCUGGGAUGGAUAAUGGAAGGGCUGCUUCCUCAUCUGACCAUGAAAGUCAGUAAGUACCAAUUUUAACUUUAUUUAUUAUCUGCUUGUGGUUAUAAGUGUGUGGAUGCUAGUGAAAAAUGCUGUCAUGUUCUGAACCAUAUCCACAGUAUAUUUUCAUUUCUUUCCUUUAUGCUGCAAAGUUUGGAAUCUCUCCACAGGUAAACAUUUUCCAAUCCUGAUAAAUUUUUAGGGUUAAUUGGUUAAAGGGGUCAAAAUAACCCCCAUAUUUGCAAAUAUAACCCACUAGUCAAAAAGCAAAAAAAUUGACCUGAUCGAGACAAAAAUGCCCUUCUUAUUUUUUCUCUCCAACACAUACAACUUCUCAUUUCCCCUUUCCCCCUCAUUUUUCCCUCCAAGACAACUUUCCCUUUCCCUUUGUUUUAUAGUAGAUUAGGUUCUAAUUUUUUUAUUCGGUCAAUGGUUGCUCUUCUCUCUCUUUUCCUGUGGAGAUCAAGUUUAACUUCUUACGAUUGUUUCAUCUAUUCUUCAUUCUUGGUCACGAAAAUAUGAAAAAAAUGUAAGCAACCAACAAUUUCUUUUUUAUAAUAUUAAUUUAUUUCUUUCUGUUUCUUGAAAAUUCAAAAUCUCACUUCAACAUUAUAGGUAAAAAAUAGAGACUCCAUUGUUAGUUCUGAACAAGUGAAAAGUUCGUUCAAAGAAUUUUCACUUGAACUUAACAGUAGUUGAGUUGCAUUAACAAAGAACUUAACCACAAUUAAGUUCACAGUCAGAAUUUUCACCUGAACUUAACAGUAGUUGAAUUGCAUUAACAAAGAACUUAACCAUAGUUAAGUUCACAGUAAGAUAUUUCACCUGAACUUAACAAUAGUUGAGUUUCAUUAACAAAGAACUUAAGCACAGUUAAGUUCACAAUCACUGUUUCACAAUAGUUGGGAUUUUUGCUCACUAGCUUCGCUUUCCUUUGCUUCACUUUCUUCUGCUUCACUUUUUUCUUCUGUUCGCUUUAGUCUUGUGUAACCAAUUUAAUCUAAUUCUGUUCUAUCCAUCUAAAUUUGUAUGGAAAUCUAAUUUCCCAUCUAUGCUCAAGACAUUUUCUUGGCUAAUGGCACACAAGAAAGUGUACACAAAUGGCAUGCUACAAUUGAGAAAAUCCUACAAAGCCCUUAGUUAUGAUGUUGGCUUAUUGUGUAUGGAGAGUGGAGAAAUGAUGAAUCAUCUUUUCUUACUUUGUUUGUUGACUUUGGGGCUAUGACAUAUAGACUUUCCAGAUCAGCUAACUUGGACUAGGUUCCUCCUAGGAGCAUUUGUGACAUGAUGAUCAUCUCAUAUAAGGGAUUGGGAAGCUCCAUUAGAGGCAACGUUCUUUGGCAAACCACUUGUCUCACAUUUAUUUAGGUUGUUUGGUGGGAAAAAAAAUGGGAGGAUUUUUUAAGGCAAGGUGAGGACUUCAAAGGCUCUUUGGGUUAUCAUUCAUUUCUUUUCCUCCUUUUGGGCCGCUUUCCAAAUCCCCUUCCAUCUUGGGCUUGCACACUAUGUCUCAGCUAAUGAGAUGAUCUCUUUUCCUCCCCUAUCCAUGACCAUAGAAAAUCCCUUUGCAUUUUUUCAAUCUUUGUUGCUACUACUAUACAAUGAAAGGAAAUAAUUAGGAAUGUGAGUCAAGCAAGACUAGAUUACGGUAAUUCUUCCACCUAAAGACAAAAAAACUUUUUUCCAACCAUUUGAUCUUCUCUAAAUUCGGUAUUCUUGAUCCUAAAAGACACUAGCCUUUGGAUAGACCCGAAUAGGUUAUUUAGCCAUUCAUAAACCUUAUAUUUGAGCAUCGAAGCUGGCCUAGAAAUCUGAUUCUAACUCAUGUUGGAAAUUAUGUUUCUUAUAGACUUAAUCUACUUCAUUUGCACUUAUGCCAAUCAUUGAUAUGUGUUUAUAAAUCUGUGUUUGUGAUCGAUGUUUUUGUAAGUCUUUGGUGAUUUGGGAGAAAACCAGAACAAUUAAGUUAGUUGUUUUGAGAAUUCAUAAAUCUCCUCCCUCAAAAGAAAAAGAAAGACGUUCUUAGAGUUGUGGAAAGGACUAAUCUGGGGAGGAAGUUAGUGAUGAUAAAAAAGUGUGGUUAUUGUUAUUGUACUGGAAGUGUAUAAAGCUAUCACUUCUCAUAGAAAGACUAACAUGAGAACAAGGAACAAGAAGAAAAAUAAAAAGAAAAGACUUAAUAUAUUUUGUUUUACGAUACCGUGUUUUAUUUAAACAAGGAAAAGGCACCUAGGUCUAAUAGAUUCACCAUUACAAUGUUUCAGGAGUGUUGGGAUGUGAUUAAGGAUGAUUUUUUUCCAUGUACUUCCUCGAAAGUUUUUCUGAUUGUGUUGCUGUGAAUUCUACAAUUUGGUUUGAUACUUUUUUUUUUCUCUAGGAUUCAUUGAUAUUACUUAUGUUGAACAUAUUAUUUAGAUUACUCCACCUUUUUCUCAAAACAUCUUAGAUUGGGAAUAUUCCUCAUCCAUUUGAAAUUUCUGUAUAGGUUUAGUGCAGAGGAUGAUGAAGAAGAUACUCAUCGUGCUUUGGUUCGGAGAAAAACAAUUGGAAAUGGUUGUCUUUGAUUCCCUUUAUUUCUUGAUUCAUAACUGGUUCAGUAUAAUUCCUGUUUGAGUCUCAUCAUCUUCCUUUAACUGGCAGAUUUUCCUGACUCAGUGUUUGACUGGACUCGAGAAAUGGAUUCAGAAUUGUUAAACCAGGAUAUCAACAAUCAAGCCUUUUCCUCUGAUCAAAAAAAAGAAAAAAACAAUCAAGCCUUCCCCAAAAAGCAUUGGCGUCUUCUCCAAUGCCAAAAUGGUAAAUCAUUUUUGCAGCCAUUUGCAUUAUUUUUUCUGUUUAACACAGAGAUGAUAAUCAAGGAAUCAAGAUAACCUAUCCAGGGAGGGAAGUUAGACAAUUGAGUAACUGGCUAUCCCAUAAUUAAAUCCAUGAAUAAUUACAUUUCGUCUGGAUAAUUGCAGGACUUCGAAUUUUUGAAGAGCUUCUUGAAGUUGAUUACCUUGUAAGGCAUUGUUUCUUUAUUUCAUUCUACAGCCGUCUCAUGAUUUUGCUUUUGCAGUAGGCUAUUUCUCAUCAACGUAACAUGUACCUUUCCUUUUUGCAGCCAAGGAGCUGUAGUAGAGCAAUGAAAGCUGUAGGGGUUGUGAAGGCAACCUGUGAAGAAAUAUUUGAGCUUGUAAUGAGCAUGGAUGGAACACGGUUUGAGUAAGUUCUUUCUAUUUCAAGUAAAGAUUUUUAUGAAUUAAUUCCAAAUGGUCAUUAUUAUGGUCUUUUGAAGAAUGUAUUCUGUAUAUAUCAUCCGGCAGGUCUGCUUCAAACCUCAUUUAAGUUAUUUUCUUUUAGAAACUUUUCGCAUGUUCUUUCUUUAUAGCAUACAUAAAAGUGGUCAUGCCCCUAUGCAAGUCAAAGUUACAGUGAUGGGAAUUACUUCUCAUGAAAUUUGCCUCAUCUUUUACUGAUUUUUUGGACCAUUUAUUAAUUUUUUGAUAGGAUUUUCUUGACACCUUAUGAAAAGCAUAUACUCACUGACAUGAUUCUUAGUUUAAAGUUCAUAAUAUGAGCAUUCAUACAUGACAUAUAACAUGUCAAACCGAAUAUAUUUACUACCUUACGUGCAUUAGUUAUGUUUUAUGGUUAAAAUAUCCAAAACUUAUGAAAAUAAAUUAAAUAAUUUUUAGGGUUUAUUACACUUUACCCCCCUAAUUUAUAGCGCGUUUUGCACAUUGCCUCCUUGAGUUUAAAAUCGAGUAAUGUACCCUCUAUGCUUUAUAAUUGCAUGCAAUAUGCAUUUGUUGUACGACGACGUUAGCUAUAAUGAACGGAAGACACAUGUGCUAAAUAUGUGACAUGUUUAAAUGAGGGCAAAAUUGUCAUUUUGUUUUCAAAUCUUCAAAUCCCCAGAACCCCAACUUGCCCUCCUCCUUCCUUCGAUCGUCUGGUAGAUUCCUAAAUCCCCAAAUUGAAGUUGAAGCCAUAGAAUGGCCACUAUUGGAGGAAUUCAAGAUUCUAAUGGAUCUCAAAACGCACUUGAGAUUGAAAACCUUGUUCGAUUCGCCAUUGAUGAGCACAACAAGAAACAUGUUUUGUUUUUUAGUUUUUAAUCUCAUUUUUCCUUUCUCUGUUUCUGUUUGUUUCUUGAGAAAUUCUCUCCUUUUGUAUUUUUUUUUUUGUUUUUAAUCUCAUUUUUCCUUUCUUUGUUUCCGCUUAUUUCCUGAGAAAUUCUCUCCUUCUUCUUGUUCUUUUUUUCUUUUUUUUUGGAGGAAGGUAGAGUUUGGCUUAUGAACGUUUGCUUUUUUCUGAGGAACCAAACAAGGAUUUUUAUUUUUAAACAAAAUUCAUUCGUUCCAUAAGUACAAUAAAAUAUUAUUUUUAGGGCAAAAGAAAUGAUCAUUUGGUUGAUGGAAUUGAAGUUUUCAUUUUUUUAUUUUGUGAAAUAAAUCAUUGCAAGGAGUUAGAUCCACAAUUGAAUUUUUGUUUCCCUUCCUAGGGUUUUUGAGUAGCCAAACGAGGUGCUUUGUUGGUUUUUUUUCCUCUUUAAUCAUUCCUUGAAAAAUCAAUUUUUUAGAUGAGUUUCUGAUCAAGGAUUCCGCUUCUCAAAUAGUAGGAACCUCCUUUAUAUCCAUUUCCAAUUUUCUCUUUUAUUUUUGGUUGAUUUGUUUGAUUAUGUAAUUUGAAUUGAUUGUUUUAAUUUAGUUUUGAUAAAUUGAAAAAGGCUACUGCAAUUUAGGGAGACGAUCUCGACCCCAAUUUAGGAAGACGAUCGGAGGAAGGAGGAGGGUUAGGGUUUUAAAAUGAAAUAACGAUUUUGCCCUCAUUUAAACAUGUCACAUGUUUAGCCCAUAUAUCUUCCGUUCAUUAUAGCUAACGUUGUUGCACGACAAAUGCACAUUGCAUGCAAUUAUAAAGCAUAGAGGGUACAUUGCUCGAUUUUAAACUUGAGAGGGUAAUGUGCAAAACAUGAUAUAGGUUAGGGAGGUAAAGUGUAAUAAAGCCUAAUUUUUAUUUAUGGAAAUCUUUAAGGUGAAAUUAAUUCCCUCCUUUAAAGUAAUGAAAUCAAUACGAAGAUUUUUUUUUUGUCCCAUAGUUGUAGCAAAUGAUUGUCCUUCACUUUUCAGCAAUAUAAAUAAAGAUUUAUUGUGUAUUAAUUUGAAGCUCCUCUGCAAUAUAUUUUUAGCUUUACCAUGCCCUUGGGCAUUUAACGGUUCAAAAUUAUGAAUUUUGAUUAAGGAAAUUUUUUUAUUUUCAACAGUGUAUGAAAAUUUACAAUAGUUGGGAAUCAAGAAGGAUGAUUUGAAACUUAUAUAGAAGCUUUUUUUGCAUAUGGGAUUGUUUGUUGGGUUCACACUCAUGCUACCAUUUUUAGUUCUUUGAUCCCUAAUAUUAAAAGAUCUAUUCUUCUCAGUGACUGUCAACCAAUUAACCUUGUAGGAAGUUCAUGCAUAGCGAUCACCAGAGCUUUGUUAACAAUAAAUAAAUAAACGAGCUCUUUGAAGUUUGUUGUGAUAUGACAUGUUAUUCACUGAGGGGGCCUUUGUGAAGGUGGACAAUCAUAUAUUCAAAUUUAUGAGGACAGUGUUGGACAUUGUGGGAAGCUGGAUAAUGGGGAUUGGUUGUGAAAUUGGAGUUUCUUAGAUUAUGUGAGACAGAUUUUGGGGUUCUGUGAUGGAAGUUAAUAAGGGGUUGAAUGCUCUUUUGGGGCUUCAAUAGGUUUGGUUGGUUCAAUUUUAUGAGCUAACAAAUGUCUUAAGUAGAUCUACAUCCAUAGUGGAAUAGAAAAUCUCUUUCUAGGUUCCCAUUUAAAAGAAAUUGGCAGUCUCCUAUAUAGCAUCUAUGGUUUGCUAAUGAUGUGAUCAUUUUCAUCUCAAUGUGGAAAGCGUAAAAAUUUUGAAUUUUACUGCCUUUUGUUUUGAGAUAGUUUCUGGCUUUAAAAUUUAAGAGCAUUACUUUGUCACCAUCUGAAGAACUAUGUUAUGUGGACACUUCAAAAUACACAGGUCUGAUGACACAUAAUUAGGAUUUAAGGGUGUGGAUAUGGUUUGUUCUCUCUCUUCCACAUCCAUAUUCCCAAUGUGAGUGAAUGUCUAACAAGAGGAACAGAGGAUUGAUGGAGACAAGUGGCAGCCACCUUUAAAAUUUUAUCAGAGAAGUAAAGGAGUGGGCUCCAAGGCUCAAACUUUAAUUUGGCACUCUCUUGAUGAUAAUGGGCUUAGUUGGGAUCUUAUAUAAGUCAAUAUAGGUUUAGCCUAGAAAGUACUUUCAGAAAUUAAGUUAUGGGCCUAGUCAAUGGUUAUAAGUUACCAUUUUCAGUCAUUAUUAUUGUCAUUUUCCAAUAGUCUUUAAUGUGGUUAGUAGUCAGUCCAAGUUUGUCAUUUUCAAGUUGCAUUAUUAUUGUGUCUAGUUCCAAGGAGUUAUAAGUCUCUAGAAAAGUCUUAUAUAGUAGUUGAUUAGUUUUUUGAGAGGAAUGAAUGAAUGAAUGAAUGAAUUUUUAACCACUUUUUUCCUUUGUGUGAUGCAAAGAGUACUUGGGUGUGAAGCCUAAGGUUUCUAGGAGUGAUUCCUAAGGUCCUUUCAAUUGUACUCUCCUUGCAUUUUACUUUCUGUACUGCAUCACCAAAAAUCUAGUUUUCUAGAAGUUCCUUUAUGUCCUUGAUUCGUUCCUUUCAAUUAUGGUACUUCAAAUGAAUCAAGUACUAGGGUGCAAUAGGCCAUUGUACAAGUACUAGUUUUCAGCUGAAGAUAGGCAUGUAGAAAAUUACAUUGAUAAUGCAACUAUGUUUCCAAGUCCUAAGGUUUGGAUGUUAGAGAAGACACUAUUUUACACCUAAUCCACAUACUUGCAUGCAAAAAUUGCAAGGUAUUGGAGCAAAAUUGACAGUGUGGAAUAAGAUCACUUUUAGAGAUAUAAGAGAGAGGAAGGAUUCCAUCAUUAAGGAUAUUGCCAUGGUAUAGAUUCUCUUGAGCCAUCCUUAAGGGCUACGAAGAAAGUAGAGUUGGAGGAAAUGUUGUUAAGGACAAAGAGGCAUUGGAGGCAAAAAAUCUAGAGUAAAGAGGGCCAAGGAGGAGGAUUUAAUUCCAUAUAUUUUCAUAGAAUUAUUAAUGGAAGAAGGAAAAAGAAGUUUAUUAAAUCUUUAUUGAGUGAGGAUGGAACCAUGUUAGAUGACCAAGUUAGCAUUUUAAAGGAAAUCUUGAUAUUCUUUGAUGAAAUAUAUAGCAAGUCUAAUGAAGUUUUGUGGAGAGUAGAAGGAUUAGAGUGGGCCCCUAUCCACUUUUUUCAUUUCUUUUUUACUAUUUUAGCAUAUCUUUUGAGUAGAUUGAUGUUCAAAUAGGAGUUUGGUAUUUUUUAGGGCUUCUUAGUGGUAGAAGUACGGCAAUGGUGCUUCAUUAAUGGUUUGUUGAUGACACCAUACUCUUUUUUUUUUGAUAGGAAACGACAAAGAAAUAUAUUGAUAGAAUUAAGGAGUACAAAAGAAGGAUGAGGAAUCCUCCCACAAAAGCAAACUAAACAACAAGAAUACAAAAACAAGAUGCUAAAAGGUAACAACAAUGAACAAACUCUCUUAGCUAGACCACCCCAUUGGAGCUGCACAUUGCUAGCCAAUCUAGUUGCAGCACACUAAGGGGAAUACCCUUAAAAACCAUGGAGCAAAAAGCCCAGAAAAAAGCAAGGAAGUGAAUGGAAUCCCAUAGAUUCUCUAAAUUCCUAGCUUUAUCCUCAAAAAUCCUAGCAUUUCUUUCCCGCCACACAACCCAAAUUAUAGCAAUACACUCAGUUUGCCACAAAACUAUGCCUCUCUUGGAUUUUCCAAAACCUUUAUAAUCGAUGGUCAUCAUGUCAGAAAUGCUCCUCGGAGGGACCCAAUCCAUCUUAGCUAUCUGAAAUAAUCUGUGCCACAACCCCAUCAUCAAAGAACAAUGUAAGAAAAGAUGAUCUGUUGAUUCUUCAUGCUUCAUACACAAUUACAGAUGUCAGGAUUAAGAGCUUUGUAGGGUCUUCUCAAUUGUAGCAAGUCAUUAGUAUUUACCUUCUUGUGUGCCACUAACCAGACAAAGGACUUGACCUUAAAAGAGACUUGAGAAUUCCAAACAAAAUUAGUAGGGAAAACUGGAGAUAAAUUAGAAAGGUGGGACAAGGGUAGAAAAAAAGACUUGACUGUAAAUAACCCUGAAGAAGAUAAAUACCAGGAUCUCGCAUCUAAAACUGAUGGGGAUAAGUGCAACCAAUCAAAUGACCACAUAAGGCUUUCUAAAUCUUCUAUCUCAAAAUCAGAAAGGUUACUACGGAAAUUAAAGUUCCAAGAGAAGGGACGAGCAGAACCGAGAAUUGAAGAUAUGGGAAUAUUUUUAGCUGUAACUACUCUAAAUAGUCUUGGAUAUUGGAAUCCCAAAGGUUGGUCCCCUUAUCAUAAGUCUUUCCAAAAGCGAAUUAUUUCCCCGUCUCCUACCACAAACCGAGUAUACUUGGAAAAAUCCUGAAAGACAUGUGCAAUAGCCUUCUGUUGAAAUUUGGCAUUCAAAGUUAGGGUUUUAAUUUAGGAAAGUAUUUUAGGAAUAAAAAAGGAGAGAUCAUUUAGGAUAUUUCCUUAGGAUUCAGUUUCCUAAUGUUAGGAGAGAAUCAAGCUAGAUUGAUAUUUUCUUAUUCAGUCAUUUUGUGUAUAUAUAUGUGUAUGGUGUGUACCGAAUAAAAAAAAAAAAAAGGAAUUCAUAAAUUCUUCAUGGUAUCAGAGCCAGUUUUCUGAAACCCUAAUCCCUUCUGGCCGCCUCUUAUUCAGGCCAUCAUUCAUUCCGGCCAAGUCUCUCUAGCCAUCUCUCAAUCCGACCAUCUCUCUCUCUGGCCAUCUCUCAUUCCGGCCAUCAGUCCCUGUUCUCAGAGCCAAGGGAGAAAACGCUUUUUGGUCGGUCGAAUCGUCGUCAGAAAACAUUCACCGCCGGCGACAUCUUUUUCCCACACCACAAGGAGCGCCUGGAGGAGAUCUCCAAUUUUUCCCAAAGCACCGAAGCCAGAAAACCACCCACGCGCCGGCCACGCGCGUUUUUCUGGUCGGCGACUACAUCUCACGCACCGGCGCGUGAGCCACUUUUCGGCGACGCGCUUCCUCCUCCAGCCUCGCCUGACGCCGACUAGCCACCCUUCAUACCCGUUCUGCCAUCCGAGCCCUGCACGUGCCUCUUUUGGGGUUCUUUUGCCUCCGUGGGCCCUCUGAACAGUUUUCCGACGUCCUCCGACUAUUUUUUUCUCAACCCCAAUCCCUGCACGUGCCUAGGGAAGUGUUCUUCUACCUUUCCGGUGGUGCCACGGUUGUUUUUCUUUUCCAUUAGGCCGGUAUCUCUGAUUUUCUCCUUUUCCCAAUUUCCAGCAACCAUAUUCGGCUGUCUUCCUCAUCUCCAUGACAAAAUACGGAAUGGCAUCAUCACAAGUAUCCAGCGCCACGACACUAGAAUCAGGGGGUAGUUAUGAAAUUCCAAACCUUGGUGGCAGUGAUUCCUCUCCUAUUCUCAUCACAAGACACAAAUUAAAUGGCCAUAACUAUUUACAGUGGUCACAAUUUGUGUUGUUGUUCAUUUGCGGUAAAGGAAAGGAUGAGUAUCUCACUGGAGAAGCAGCCAUGCCAGAAACUACAGAACCGAGUUUCAGGAAGUGGAAGAUUGAAAACAGCAUGAUCAUGUCAUGGCUUAUCAAUUCCAUGAACAAUGACAUAGGUGAAAUUUUUUUGCUGUUUGGGACUGCAAAGGACAUCUGGGAUGCAGCCAAAGAAACUUACUCAAGUUUUGAAAAUACUUCAGAACUUUUUCAGGUUGAAUCAGCCCUACAUGACUUCCGCCAAGGAGAGCAGUCAGUUACUCAGUAUUACAACACACUCACAAGGUAUUGGCAGCAACUUGACUUAUUCGAGACUCAGUCAUGGAAAUGUUCGGAUGAUGCAGCAACAUACAGGCAAAUUGUGGAACAAAAGAGACUGUUUAAGUUUUUCCUAGGACUAAACAGGGAAUUGGAUGAUGUUAGAGGCCGAAUCAUGGGCAUUAAACCCCUGCCAAGUCUCAAGGAGGCUUUUUCAGAGGUUAGGCGUGAAGAAAGUAGAAAGAAAGUGAUGAUGGGAUCCAAAGAGCAACUUGCCCCAACAUUGGAUGCCUCUGCCCUUGCUGCUCGGUCAUUUAAUAGUAGUGGUGGAGAUCGUCAGAAACGGGAUAGGCCUUGGUGUGAUUAUUGUAAGAAACCAGGCCAUUAUAAGGAGGCUUGCUGGAAGCUUCAUGGAAAACCGGUUGAUUGGAAACCAAAGCCACGGUUUGACAGAGAUGGCAGAGCACACGUGGCUGCCAACUCUGAGAGCACAUCUGUUCCCGAGCCGAGUCCAUUCAACAAAGAGCAGAUGGAGAUGCUACAGAAACUAUUAAGCCAAGUUGGCAGUGGCAGUACUACUGGGAUAGCCUUCACUGCUAAUUGAGGAGGAAUGAAGCCGUGGAUAGUGGACACAGGUGCUUCUGAUCACAUGACAGGAGAUGCUUCCAUUCUUCAAAAUUACAAGCCAAGUAAUGGUCAUUCAUCCGUCCAUAUUGCUGAUGGUUCAAAGUAAAAAAUUGUCGGGACAGGUUCCAUAAAACUUACUAAAGACUUGUAUCUUGACUCUGUCCUCCAUGUUCCAAAUUUGGAUUGUAAUCUUUUGUCCAUUAGCAAAUUGGCCCGUGAUCUCCAAUGUGUUACUAAAUUUUAUCCAAACUCGUGUGUUUUUCAGGACUUGAAAUCGGGGAAGAUGAUUGGCAGUGCUGAACUGUGUUCCGGGCUCUACCUCCUCCCAUGUGGCCAAUUCUCAAACCAAGUCUCUCAAGCAAGUUGCGUACAGUCUCAGAGUAUGUUAGAGUCUUUCAAUUCUGUGUCAAAUUAUAAGGUCAAUAAAGAUAGUGAGAUUAUAAUGUUACACUAUCGCCUUGGUCAUCCUAGCUUUGUUUACCUUGCAAAAUUGUUUCCCAAAUUAUUUAUCAAUAAAAAUCCAGCAUCUUAGCACUGUGAAAUUUGUCAGUUUGCAAAGCAUACUCGAACAGUAUAUCCUCAAAUCCCAUACAAACCUUCGACUAUUUUCUCUUUAGUACAUAGUGAUGUGUGGGGUCCCUCACGAUGGUUUGUGACAUUCGUUGAUGAUCAUACACAGGUAACAUGGGUUUUCCUUAUGAAAGAAAAGUCAGAGGUCGGGCACAUUUUUCAAACCUUCAAUCUUAUGGUUCAAAAUCAAUUCAAUUCCAAAAUUCAAGUCCUCAAGUCAGAUAAUGCAAAGGAAUACUUUACUAGUAGUCUCAGUACUUAUCUUCAAAAUCAUGGCAUUAUCCACAUAAGUUCUUGCGUUGACACCCCACAACAAAAUGGGGUGGCUGAAUGCAAGAAUAGACAUCUCUUGGAGGUUGCCCAGUGCCUUAUGUUUUCCUCUAAUAUUCCAAACUAUUUUUGGGGGGAAGCCAUUCUCACAGUUACCUAUUUGAUUAAUCGUAUGCCAUCCAGAGUGCUUACCUUUCAAUCCCCACGUCAACUUCUCUUAAAAAAAUUCCCUCACACCCGUGUAGCCUCUUCUGAUUUACCACUCAAAGUAUUUGGUUGCAGGGCAUUCGUUCAUGUGUAUCCUCAAAAUCGUAGCAAAUUUGCUCCUCGAGCCAAUAAGUGCAUUUUCCUAGGGUCUUCUCCAACCCAAAAAGGUUACAAAUGCUAUUCUCCAACCAACAAAAGAUUUUACACCACCAUGGACGUCUUUUUCUUUGAACAUGUCUUCUUUUAUCCCAAAUCUCAUGUUCAGGGGGAGAGCAUGAAUGAGCAUCAAGUUUGGGAGUCUCUUCUUGAGGUUGUAUCUUUUUCUCACUCAGAGUCACCAAAUCCUUCCCAAUUCGCGCCCACUGAGUUGUCCACACCCAUGCCGUCAUCAGUCCAGCCAGCCCAGCCCACAAAUGUUCCUUCUCCCGUGACCAUCCAGUCUCCCAUGCCUAUUCAACCUAUAGCCCCACAACUUGCUAAUGAGAACUUACAAGUUUACAUCAGGAGGAGGAAAAGACAGGAAUUAGAGCACGAAUCACAGCCAACAUGUGGCCAAUAUAUUGACUCUAUUUCAAGUCUACCUGAAGAGAACAUAGGUGAGGAUAGGGCUGGAGAGGUGUUAAUUCCCAGCAUUGAUGAUUCUACUCUGCUGAUUGCAUUGAGGAAGGGUGUUAGGAGAUGUACAGAUCAUCCAAUUGGGAAUUAUGUUACGUAUGAAGGGCUAUCACCAUCUUACAGAGCAUUUGCUGCUUCUCUUGAUGAUACUCAGGUUCCCAACACAAUACAAGAGGCAUUCAAAAUUUCAGAAUGGAAGAAGGCAGUACAAGAUGAGAUUGAUGCACUUGAGAAGAAUGGGACAUGGACUAUCACAGAUUUGCCGGUUGGGAAGAGGCCCGUGGGGUGCAAGUGGAUUUUCACCAUAAAAUACAAAGCAGAUGGAUCAGUCGAGAGAUUCAAGGCUCGUUUGGUAGCAUGAGGGUUUACACAAUCCUAUGGGAUAGACUAUCAGGAGACUUUUGCUCCUGUUGCAAAACUGAACACUAUCAGGAUUCUUCUCUCAUUGGUUGUCAAUCAAGAUUGGUGCUUGCAACAACUGGACAUAAAAAAUGCGUUUCUAAAUGGUGACCUAGAAGAGGAAGUCUACAUGGAAAUACCACCUGGUUUCGAAGGAAGUAUGGCAAAGAAUCAGGUUUGCAAACUCCAAAAAUCCUUGUACGGCCUUAAACAAUCUCCCCGAGCCUGGUUUGAUAGAUUCACAAAGGCAGUCUUGAAGCUGGGCUACAAACAAGGUCAGACUAAUCAUACUCUAUUUGUCAAGAAGUCUCAUGCCGGGAAAAUGGCCAUAUUGAUAGUCUAUGUCGAUGAUAUUAUUCUAUCUGGGAAUGAUAUGGAGGAAUUACAGAAUUUGAAGAAGUAUUUGUCAGAAGAGUUUGAAGUUAAAGACCUUGGAAAUUUGAAAUAUUUCCUUGGUAUGGAAGUGGCUAGAUUAAGGAAGGGAAUUGUAGUCUCUCAAAGAAAAUACAUACUCGAUCUUCUUAAGGAGACCGGUAUGCUUGGAUGCAAACCAAUUGAUACUCUUAUGGAUAGUCAGAAGAAACUUGGUAUCGAGAAAGAGAGUACACCGGUAGACAGGGGGAGAUAUCAGCGACUCAUCGGGCGCUUGAUUUAUCUCUCACACACUCGGCCAGAUAUUGGCUUUGCAGUGAGUGCUAUAAGUCAAUUCAUGCAUAGCCCCACUGAGGAACACAUGGAAGUAGUUUACAGGAUUCUUAGAUAUUUAAAAAUGACACCAGGGAAAGGUCUAUUCUUCAGAAAGACAGAGUAUCGUGACACUAAAGUAUACUCAGAUGCGGAUUGGGCAGGAAACAUCAUUGACAGGCGGUCCACUUCUGGAUACUGUUCUUUUGUCUAGGGAAAUCUUGUUACCUGGAGGAGUAAGAAGCAAUCAGUUGUAGCCAGAAGUAGUGCAGAAGCUGAGUACAGUGCACUAGCACAGGGAAUCUGUGAAGGGAUUUGGAUAAAAAGGGUUCUUAGUGAACUGGGACAAACGAGUUCAUCUCCGAUUCUGAUGAUGUGUGAUAAUCAGGCAACUAUAAGCAUAGCAAAGAACCCCGUGCAUCAUGACAGAACCAAGCACGUUGAGAUUGACAGACACUUCAUCACAGAGAAGGUGACUAGUGAGACGGUUAAAUUGAACUACGUUCCUACCAAGCACCAAACUGCAGACAUCCUCACCAAAGCUUUACCUAGGCCUAACUUCGAAGACUUAACUUGCAAGUUGGGAUUAUAUUAUAUAUAUUCUCCAGCUUGAGGGGGAGUGUUGAAAUUUGGCAUUCAAAGUUAGGGUUUUAAUUUAGGAAAGUAUUUUAAGAAUAAAAAAGGAGAGAUUAUCUAGGAUAUUUCCUUAGGAUUCAGUUUCCUAAUUUUAGGAGAGAAUCAAGCUAGAUUGAUAUUUUCUUAUUCAGUCAUUUUGUGUAUAUAUAUGUGUAUGGUGUGUACCGAAUAAAAAAAAAAAAAGGAAUUCAGAAAUUCUUCACCUUCCAAGGGCAACGAUGUGACCAUCUGACUAUAGUGUUGACAUCCCAACCAUUAGAAUGUGUCCCAUAAAUGAUUAGAAUGACCUGAUGCCACAAAGUUGAACUCUCCCUAAGAUACCUCCACAACCAUUUCCCUAAAAGAGAAAUCUUCCCAAACCCCAAUCCCCUUUUUGUCUUCGGUUUACACACUACAUCCCAACUAAUAAGAUGAUCUCUUUUACAUUCCCCAACUCUUGACCAAGGAAAACCCUUUACAAUCUCUCAAUUUUUGUAGCCAUUGAAGCAGGAAUCUUGAAGAAGGAUAGAAAGUAACUAGAAAUGUGGGAUAGGCAUGAGUGGAUAAGAGUUAUCCUACCUCCAAAAGAUAAAUAAGCCUUUUUCCACCCAUCUAAUCUCCACGAAAUUCUCUCAAUCACUAGAUCUCAAAAGCCACAAGCCUUUGGAUUCCCUCCCAAAGGAAGACCCAAGUAGAGUAUAGGCCAAUCAGAAACCUUGCAAUCAAGCAACAAGGCUAAUUUAGAGAGAUGAUCUUGAUCAAGGUUGAUGCCAUAAAGGUUACUUUUGUCAAGAUUGACCUUAAGCCCAUAAAUUUGCCCAAAUACUAACAAAAUAAACUUAAGAGUUUGUUGUUCUUCCACACAUGUGCUAGAAAAGAAGAUGGUAUCAUCUGCGAAUUGCAGAUGAGACACCCUUAUUCUAUUCUUACAGUGAAACCCUCCAACAUACUUCUUUCCUCUACUCUUAACAACAUCCUACUCAACACAUCAAUGACAAUAAUAAACAGAAAAGGGGAUAGAGGAUCACCUUGUCUUAAUCAUCUAGUUGCCUUGACCCACCCUUUAGCAUUUCCAUUCACUAAAAUUGCAUAAGAGAUCGAUGACAAACAACCUCUCAUCCAGGACCUCCAUCUAGUACUAAACCCCUUCCUAUCCAACACAUGAUCCAAAAAAUCCCAAUCUACAUGGUCAUAAGCCUUUUCAAAGUCAAUUUUGAAGACAACUCCUUCCUCCCCUGAUCGUCUUUUCUCAUCCACUAACUCAUUGGCUAUUGGAACUGCAUCUAAAAUUUGUCUCUCUUGAACAAAAGCACCUUGAGUAGAAUGGACUUUUGUUAUUAUCUUGUAGAGACAAGUGAUCAAGCUAAUAGGUCUAAAGUCUGAAAUUUUUUUGUCUGGAUUUUUUUAGGCAAAAGAGCUAUGAAGGUGGCAUUGGUGCUUUGAUUAAUUAUCCCGCAUCUGUGAAACUCUGCGAACACCCUCACUAAGUCCUCCUUGAUCACAUCCCAACAAUCUUGAAACACUGCAAUGGUAAAUCCAUCAUGCCCCGGCUUCUUAUCCCUACCUAACUGAAAAAUGGCUUUAGAAAUCCCUUCUUCAGUAAAAUGGGAGUCCAACCUAGAAGCACUCUUUUCUGAGAUAGGAGACUAAUCUAAGCCUUCUACUCUCCAAGACUCUCCAGGAGGACUCGAGUAGAGCUUUUCAUAAAAAAGUAAGAUCUCUUCUGUGAUGCUAUCAAUAUUAUUCAACACUAAGCCUCUUUCAUUCUCCAGAAACUUGAUGAAUUUCCUAUUUCGUUUGCCAUUAGCCACUUUGUGAAAAAACUUUGAAUUGCAAUCCCCUUCUUUUAUCCAUUUCACCUUAGCUUUUUGUCUCCAAUGAACCUCUUCCCUCAAAAUUAAUUCCUCUAACUCCCCUUUCUCAAAGCUCUUUGUGUGAAAGUUCAGAAGAAAGAACCCCUUCUUGCUCAACAGCAUCAAUGUUAGCAAUAUCACAAAGUAUGUUUUUUUUCCUUUCCUUUAGCACUCCAAAAGAUUCCUUAUUCCACUCUUUCAAUUUGGCCUUAACAAAUUGUAACUUCCUCAUAAACUUAUGACCUUCCCAACCAGCUCCCUGAAAGCCUCUCCACCAACUUCUAAAGCAAUCUUUGAAACUAGGAUGUUGCAACCACGUAUUCUCAAACCUAAAAGGAGUUGGCCCCUACUUGAAUGAAAUGGUGUCUAAAACAAUCAGCCAAUGAUCCGAUGUCCAUCUAGGAAGAACUUCUUGAAGGCUUUGAGGAAAGAAAUGCUCCCACUCAUUUGUGUAAAGAAACCGAUCUAAUCUCUUACACACAAAUGAAUCUUGCAAGUUUGACCAAGUGAAUGGGGCGUUCCUUAAAGGGAGGUCAAUUAAUUCACAAUCUCUUAUAAAUCCAUCAAAGUCUCUCAUGCUAGAAGUUAAAAUAGAGCCUCCCAAUUUUUUUGAAAUUCUCCUUAUAACAUUAAAAUCACUGCCCACACACCAGAAAGGAAAGGAAAUGCCAUAAAUGUCUAAGAACUCCACCCAAAAUACCUUCCUAAGUAAGGAAUUGUUUGGACCAUAAACUGAGGACAACCAUAGGGGUCCACAUCCAUCCAACAAAAACUUAACUGAGACAGAAAAGGAGCCUAUUACCACCUCCUCACUGCAUAGUUUCUUUGAGUCCCAAAUAAUCAAAAUCCCUCCUGAAGCCCCACAAGUCGGAAGAGAAGCCUACUCCUUAUUCCUAACCGACCAGACACUACCAACAAACCUUCUGUCAUACUCCUCUUUUUUGUUUCCUGAAACAUUACAACAUUCGGAUUCUCAAGAUGCAAAAAAUCUUUAACCACCCUUCGUGUUUUCGUAGAACCCAAACCCCUAGUAUUCCAACUGAUGAUCUUCAUGAUAAAAACCUCUCUAACCCUAAACCUCCAAGCCAUAUGCUACAGGUCUCAAAUACUUGUGGAGAAUCUGCUCUUCCGCUUGGAAUACACUUAAUAUCCAAAGAACUUAAGACCUCACGAACUUUAGCCAUUUUCCUAGGAGAAAGACCAUCUAUUUGGAACCCACCCAAAGAGGAAAACUCAGCUUUAAUCGGGCAAUCUGUAACAAGGUUAGGGGCCUCAAUAGGCAUGUUAAGCAAGGUCUUAAGGGAGUUAAAACCCUCAUACAAUUGGUUCAGACAAACUAAUUGGGAUUCCACAUCAACUAGGUUAGGAUUGCCAACAAAAUCUUAACAUAAAUCACCAUCAUCAUUUUUUUUGGAAAACAUUUUAGGUGCAACUCGACAAUUCGUAGGAGACUGAGACGGAAUUACUGAACUAGGAAGACUGGGAUCAGAAGAAGUCAGAGGUGGAUGAGCCAAGCCAUAGGAGGGGGGAAAAAUGACAAAGAUGAUUGAGAAAGUGGAGCAAAAACUACCUCAUUGUUUUCCACUACCAUCAAUCCACAAGUCCCCACAGAGGUUAGCCCUUUUUCACUGGUUACUGGAUUAGAAGGAAAAACCAAGACUGAAGAGUCGUGAUGAGCAAAACCCCCGAAACCCUCAGAGUUUUCUCUAUCUACAACGUUAGAAAAUUUGCACCAUUUUGCCUUCCCCUUUGAAUGAAUAAAAUAAGAGAAGACCUUUGAUGAUUAUCCGCAUCACCUCUUGACGACGAAGCCCCUUCCCCAGAACAACUGCUUCGGAACCCCAACGGACGACUAAGAAUGAGAGGACUCGAGCUAAACCUUUGCACCAUCUGUGUUCCCGCUUCGAAAGCAACGUCCUUUAGAGGGGCUACAAAAUCUGAAGAUGGAAUCUCUUGCGUUAGAGGCUCGCUUCGUCUUCGCCCCUUGUCGGCAUUUAGAAAUUGGAGAAAUAUGACUAGUCCACAACUUCUUUGAACCAAACUUUGUCAUGGAACCCCUCAAUUGAGAAGAAGAGACCACUAAGACCGACUUCCCCUUUCCCAUUGCAGAUGAGUCUUCACUGCGUAAAAAGCCCUUCCUAGAGUUGGGCUGCUUUCCAUCCAUUUCUUGGCCCAAAGUUGUCACCGGGCCUUUUAAAUUAACACCCCUCUCCCAACCCAUAUUUGCUUCCACCACUGGCCUAGGUUUUUGAGGAGAAUGGGCCCUUCUCUCUUGCAGUGCAUUAGAGGCCCGGUGCCAUUCCUCAACACUUGAGUGGACCUUAACCCUUCUGACCCUAACUUCACCUAACAGCUUUGGCCCAAAGGACCCUAUUCUCUCUUUAUUUGAAUUCAAAUUUAACGGAGAUGAAGGUUGGACACAAUUGUUCCCUUCAUCCGCCCUUCUCUUGCCAUGUGUCCUCUCAGCCUUUUGAUUUCCUACACCAUCUUUCAAUUUGUCAGCUGCCCCAUUAGAAGACCAUCCUUUAGCCGUUGAUUUAUUCUUCUCAACCAGCCUUCUACCACUUGUCCACGAGUGAGACUCACAAUCCCCUCAAGUUGACUCACUCAUUUCUCUAACUCGCCUUUCUUCUCCAGCUCCAACCACUGCAAUUGAUAUUGUAAAAACCCAACCCCCAUCUAACACCUCAAUCAAUGCAGGAAGGACUGAAUGUUCCUUCAUUAAAAUUCUCACCCUUGUCUUACAGAGAUCAUACAAUUUCAUCGUUCGCCAAUCGAUCUUUGUCACUGUCCCCCACUGCUCUACAAUUUUAUUUAGAUGUUCCAUUAACCAUAAAUGAAAGGGCAAACCCCGUAAUUGAAUCCAUCCUUCUUUGAACUUCCCCUCUACUUUUGAGUUUUCCCUUGGCGACCACCUUCUCAAAUGGGUUGUAUACCCUCCCUUAACCUUGAGAAACCUUAACUCUUGGAGAGAGAAGGCUUCCUCAAUAGUUUCUACAAAAAAUAAACCUUUUCCGCCAGAGAAAGGGACGAUAGUCACCACACCUUUUUGCCCUAAGAAUUUCGCCAGAGCACGGCCAACCCUAGCCUAGUUGACAAAAGCAGCGGGACAUUCACAAACCACGGCUCUCGCCCAUCUCCCAACUGGAACAAGGCCUCCUCUCCUCGGUCCUUCCUUUUUUACUACAUUCACAAAGGACCCACUUGUUUGUAAUUUAUGUUUUCAACCCUGCACUGCCUUUCCUUUUCAACUAUAUUCGAAGAGGGGACCAUCAGCAUUGAAGAAAAAGCAUUUUUUAGUUGCUCCCAUCCCUUGCCCCGCUCGCCCUCAGGGAUUACCAGGAAAGUUGACCUUUUGUUGGAGGCAAACUUCGAAAGCCUUAUAAACCUACCGUGGUUGUUGAAGCAUACCUCCAUUAAAUGAACUUUGGACUUUCCUCUGUAUUUUCUGUUGAAACCCAUGUAAGUCUUCAGCUCGAUAGCCUUUGCCAAAUGUUUGAUCAACCAGCCAACCUCUUCCUUCUCAAAGCCUGAGGCGAAAACCGAGCCUCUGCUAUGCUCUGUAAGCGAGCACCAAAUACCUCCGGACUCACCUUCAAACCUAACCAGGAAGGUCUUCCUCUCCACAGAGACUUUCAGCGUCCUCACCAUUUUUUACUUUUACCAUGCUCUUUUCAAUAGCUAGUUUAAAUGAUUACAAGGCCUUAACUAAUUUUGUUGGUAUUUGAGCACAUUUCAAGUUUGAAGAUAAAUUAAGACAAUGAGGAAAUAGGGUUGCUUUUGAAAAUGAGGAUCUAUCGGUCCAAAGGAUGGAAUAUUCUCUUGUUAGCUAUUUGUGGUCUUGGUUCAAAUGUUGCAUAGUUGAAGGGCCUAAUUCUUUAAUCAACUUUUUUGAGUGGGUGGGCUAUAGGUGAGAGAGGAGGGGUUAGUUUUUUGUUUCCCUCUUCCUUUUUUUUAGUCUAUAGGUGCUCGUUUCUAUACCUCCUGUAUGCUUUGAGUUUCCCGUUGGGCGCCCUGUUCUUUAAUAUACUCUACUGUGACUUUGCCUAUAAAAGAAAAAAAAAAAGAAGAUAAAUCUAGACAAUGGUAUCUUGUUGGGUAUCAAUGUGAGUUUAGCCUAUAUCUUUUUUGGGUCUUCCUUUAGGGAACCUUAGAGCCAUAUCUUUUUGGGAUUUAGUUUUGGAUAGGAGUUGCCGAUGGUUAGAUGGUUGGAAAAAGGCCUACUUGUCUCUAUGUGGAAGAAUAACAAUAGUGUAGUCUUGCUUUUCCCAUGUCCCCCUCAUUAUUAUUAUUAUUAUUAUUAUUUUAUUCUUAAACCUCCAAUUAAAGUGGGUUAUACAAUUGAGAGAUUACAAAGGAACUUUCUAUAUUUAGGUGUUGGGGAAUGGAAGAGAGAUCAUUUUAGGGAUCAAUGUCUAAGCUAAAGGGAGAAGGGGCCUUGGAGAUUAGAAGAAUGACUUUGAGGAAUAGAGUCUUUUCAGGGAAGUGGUUGUGGAGGUUUCUUAAGGAAAACACUACUUUAUGGUACAACAUUUUUUGAAAUUUACGAGCCACAUUCUUACUGAUGUGAUGCUAAUGUUGUUGUUACGUGAUCUCAUCAAUGUCCUUGGAAGGUCAUUGCACAAGUGUUCUUUGGUUUCUGUCAUUUUACUCGGUGUUUAGUGGAUAAUGGUACAAAAUUCACUUUUUGGAGGAUAUUUGGUGGAGUGCCCUUUUGUGUUUGGCUCCCAAACCUCUAUAGAGUAGUAAGGGCGAGAAAUUCAUGUAGUUCUUCAAUUUCCAUUCCAUUCUCCUCUUCAUUAUGGAAUUUUAAUUGUUUGCACAAUGUUACCGAUGAUUAAAUGAAGGAACUCUAUAAUGUUGACUUUAGUCCAUGUGUAUUUAUUGCUCACAUUCUUUGAUAUGAGAGUUUGAUCUUUGACAUCCUAUGGUUUAUUUAGUCUUAGUCAGUUUAUUCUUUAGAACCCUCUUUGUUUCCACCAAUUUAAGAUCCUUUCUCUUGGAAAAUUUCUUCUAGAAAUCUAAAUCUCUAUCAGAAGUCAAGGCCUUUGCAUGGCUUGUGGCAAGUAGGAAGAUUAGUAUCCUUGAUUUGUUGCAGAUAAGGGAAUCUUUCAAAGCCUUUACCCUGGAAUGGUGUGCCCUUUUUUUCAUUUUUUUUUUGUAUUUUCCAUUAGCAUUAACAUUAUUACGUAAGUUGUUUGGACUAUAAGAUUGAUUGGGUUCCACCUAGGAGUGUGGUGGAGAUGCCAACAAUUUCCUAAAGGUUUUGGAUGUCUUCUAAAGGAAACUCAUGGUAUAUUGUUAGUUUCACAUUAAUUUGGAAUAUAUAGCUGGAGAGGAAUGCAAAGAUUUGAAGGAUAGAUGAAGAAUUUUAGAGGCAUUGUAGAAUUCAAUCUAUUUCUUCUCUUCCAUUCGACAUCAAGUAGUACAUCAUUUUUGGGCACUCUUUUGAGUGUUAUAUUGAUACAUUGGACAUAAUAUGUAGUUUAACUAGGUUGGCUAAGAAGAUACUCUCUAAAUGGACUCCCCCAGUAAGUUGUGUCAACUUGAAUUUUGAUGGUUGCUCAUUAGGAAAUUCAUAACAAUUAGGAGUUGGAGGAAUGUCUAUUGAUCAUCAUGUAACACUAAUGAGAAUAUUUUCUAAAUAUAUUAGAAUUGGUCUAGAAAUUGUGGUGGAGAUUCUAACCUUGCUGAGAAGUUGGUCAAAGUGGAGGGUCUUUCCAACCUAAUGCUGGAGUGAGAUUUUGCAGUAGUCCUUGGUUGAGUAAGAAAGAAAGAAGCUAAUGGAAAUUUGACGGGUGGCUUCAUUAAACUUUUUAUUUUGCUUGAAGGAUGGGAUGCUUCUAUUAUUGGAUUCCUCAUUCAUCUAUAUAUUAACAAAGCAGGGAGCCAAACUUCUGUUCUCUUCUGUAGGGGGUAUUUUGGAAUAUGUUAGCAAAACAUCGAGCCAAACAUUUGAUCUCCUUUGUAGGGGUUUCUCUACCUCUCUGAAUAUCGAUUUUGUAAUUGUAUCCACUUUUCAAUGUGCAAUGACCUAUGGUUUCUAAAGUAGAUAGUUUUUUUCCCCUACUUUUGAUUAGAGUAGUGGUUGUUUUUAUAGAGGAAGGAUUUACCAUACUUUUUUGUACUUAUUUCAUAGUAAUGAAGUGUUUUCUUCUGAUUAGAAAAAAAAAAAAAAUAGACAAAUACUUGAGCCAUGCUAGAUAUCCUACAGUACAUGAAACAAUAUAAUGAUCUAUUAGGACUCUAAUUCUUUUCCUAGAGCUUCUAAGUCUUUCAAAAAGUGGAAUGAAAAUAUAGAAUGGAAACUUUCCAAAAUAGAAAGUUUAAAUAUGUUGGAACUCUAUAUUUUUGCUCCGUGGUUUUUAAGGGUAUUCCCCUUAAUGUGCUGCAACUAGAUUGGCUAGCAGUGCGUAACUUCAAUGGGGUGGUCUAGCUAAGAGAGUUUGUUUGUUGUUGUUACCUUUUAGCUUCUUGUUUUUGUAUUCUUGUUGUUUAGUUUGCUUUUGUGGGAGGAUUCCUCAUCCUUCUUUUUUACUUCUUAAUUCUAUCAAUAUAUUUCUUUGUCGUUUCCUAUUAAAAAAAAAAUAAAAAAAACUCCAUAUGAUAAGAGACUUCCACAAAAGUAUAACUUUUCAAUUCUAAAUAAGACUCAAAUAGGAAAAAGGAGUAAGUUCAGAAAGUAGGAAGUUCAAAGUGUAUAAGUUUCUUAAAACAAAAAUAACAAGACUUGCCAAGCUCUAAAUAAGACUAAAAAAACCAACUACUACUAAUUAUGACAUCAAAGAAUUAAAAUGUGUGAAAUUAUACAAAUGCCCUUGGACAAAUCAAUUUAGGAUUUCUUUGCUUCUUUUCUUCCUUUGCUUGGAGACCUUGAAAGUUUAGUCUCAUCACCAAGGCUAUAUGUUUUUGUUUUGUAUUUUUUUGGAUCUUCCUUUUUGUUUUUUUCUUCUGAGGUGACUAUAUUACAUCAAUUAUCUUAUCUUGAUGUUGGUAGAUGAUUGUCAUUUCCUGUAUUUACCUACUUUUAAUUUGUUCCAAUAGUGAGGAAGUAGUGGAAAGAAUCUUUUCAAUUUUCUGAUAUAGGUUUAUUUUUCUGAUUCCUUUCCAUGAUCUUGUUACUUGUUGAUCUCCCAACCAACAGCCCUGUAGAGUUUAUCUGCAAAAUGGAAGUCCCUCAUAAAGCUUAAGCUUUUUCAUGGGCUAUAGCUUUAUAAAGUUUGAUCAUAUUGUAUAUCUAUUGUUACAUCUCAUGAAGUAACAAAUUUGUGGGGUGAGCUUUAGGUCCCAUACUGUUCUCAUGUCAUAGUUGUUGCUCUCUGUCACUGUAUGGGAGGUUAAUAACUGAUCCUCAACCAUUUGACGGUCUGUUUGUAGGAAUCAGUAGUUGAAUGACACUUUUUUCUGAUAUUAUCUAAUGCUGAAAUAGAUAUCUCAUUUUGUUUUUGAAAAAUAAGCUUUCAUGUGAAAGGGUCAUAAAGAUGGAAAGUGCAUCAUUUUAUUGGCAUUGUAUCAUGAUAUAUGAUAGUCAGAUUCUUAUCCUUAAAAAUAUAGCUGUCCUUAAGAUGACAUGGCAGUUAGAGCCUGUUAGUAUGUCCAGAACUUUAAACUCCUAUCCAAUAUUUUAGCUGGAAUGCAUGUAAUAUUUUGUUCAUGCCCAUCUCUAGAACACCCAGUAUUUGGAAGUCAAUAAAAUUAAAAUGGUUAGUAGUACUAUUAUUUUGUUCAAUUUAAGAACUGUAUUACAUGUAGUACUUUUAUUAGUGUGUGAAAUAUAUGAUAUGUCAAUGGUGAUUCAUACCUGAUAUGCCACUUUCUCCAAUAUAUUUUAGACACAUUGCAGUUAGUGCCUUUACUAGAGUCCAUGACUCCAUGUCAUAUGACUUUCCACCCCAAAAAAAUCAAGCCAUAGUAAGGAAGAGCCUCUUAGUCACUUGAACAAGGUUACUAUUGGAUUCUAACACCUUCAAAUUUUUGUGAUUAGCUAAAACCUAUGAUUUCUUUUAUAUGUGUGCACUUUUUCAUGUCAUUAACUUUUCAUGUCGUGAGUAGGUGGGAUUGCAGUUUCCAAUAUGGCAGCUUAGUGGAGGAGGUAGAUGGACAUACAGCUAUUCUCUAUCAUAGGCUUCAGCUGGGCUGGUUCCCUAUGUAAUAUUCUCUCAAGUUAAAUCUCUUUAUUUAUGCUUCAUAAUGUUACAGAAUCUAGUAAUCGUAUGAAUGCAUACAAAAUUUCGUUGUUUUUUCUGUAUCAACAUUGUUAAAACAUGGCACUUUUGUGCAAAUUCAGAUUAAAGCUUUUACUUUACCUCUCUCUAGUUUGCAUGUAAUUGCGCUUUAGAUUCAUAAUCGAGUCUUUUGAUUUAUCUUAUAACCCUCAUAUGGGAGAAACUUCAAUUAUCAUUGAUUGCCACAGUUGGGCAUCACAGCUUGUAGUCGUGUAUGGAGACCAUAUAUACACUAAAUUUGGACUCGGACUAUUACAGUAGUUGGGCCCUACAGGUCCAACAAUGCAGUUCAAAAAGCCAAGUCUUGAAUUUCUCAUGGCCAGGUAUGAUGCAACUUAGCAUGGAUGCUUAUCCCUCUGGUGGAUUCUGAACACUACCCCUGAUCCCAACUACAUUGAAGUCUAUUAUUGUGGUUGCCUGGGGAGAUCUCCUGAUAAAUCCUCCUCAAAGUUUCUGAGGCAUGGAGGUCUGAGGAUUCAACUCCUUCCUGGUAUGGUAAUAAGGCCUGGGGUUUUACACAAACCUGUUGUACCUUAGUGGUGGACAUAGCCACUUUGGUGGAGGGAUAAUUUGGAUGGAUAGUAGGUUUUUAAAUCAUGGUUAGAGGUUAAUUGAGGAAGUUGCAACACAUGGCUGGAACCUUGGGAGCUGUUAACCUCACUACUUCACUCAUUUUCAUACCCUAUUACUUGAUAUGUUGCUUGCCAAGUUUGCAUCAUGUGCUCCUCUAUCACAAGAUCUGCACAUGGCAUUGCUCACCAUUCACUGGCUUUCAGUACUGUAGACUGACCCCUUGAAAGUAGUUUUCAGUUAUAGGAGCUCCUGGGGGGUGGGGACUAGAUAUGUAUGCAACGGAUGUGUACAACAAAGGGGGAAAAAGAACAAAUUCCUCAUUCAUUGUAAGCAACCUUGGGCUCAUGUUAGAUAUUCUUAGUUACAUACCAUUUUAGCAAAAGGGACAAAGUAGGAAGAAAAUGAAAAUUAGUUAUCUUGCCCAAUUUCUGGGGAUUAAAAGAAUCUGAUAUAGACACAAGUCAACACCCAACACUCGUACUCAAGUUCAUGUUGAAACAGAUUGACACCUGUUGACUGGGAGUAUCUCUGGGACAGAUUGGCACCUGUGGACCAGGAGUAUCUCCACAUGUCCAAGCCUCCUGAUUAGUUUGUUCAUGAAGGUUUUAAACCAAAUCUCAGCAGAGAUGAGGAAAAUUUAGAAGAUUCUGGACAGGGCUACUUUUUUCCUUCUAGUUAAGAUGCUUAAAUGACUUAUACAAGGUGACCCACAAAGUAGAAAAAGAGAUGAUUACUGACUAGAAGCUGUUCUUGAAUCACAAAAUUCAAACUAGAAAAAGAACAAAAUCUUAAUGUAUUCUUUGUUUGAAUGGGCUGGAUGAUCCUUACUAGGUGGAAGUGUUUUUCGAUAUAUCUAAUUGAUGUUUUUAAUAGUACCUCAGCCGUAAAGAGUCUCUUCUCCCCUCUUUGUUUGGCCUUUUGGUCUUUGUAUACAUCUCUUAUACAUGGGUUGCACCCUACCUUUUGGCACUUGUUGUAUAAAACUUUACUUGUUAAGGGGGAAAAUAGAAUCUCAACCAGGGCUUGCAUGUAAUGCAUUUUCUAACUAGAAAACACUAGAUACCUUGAGAGUCUUGACCAGAUAGUAUUUGAGGGAACAACUGCACAUAUGGACAAUAGAUCUUAACCAGACUUGGUUGCACUUUGUUUGAGGUAUGGCCUGAUCAGAUUGGUGAAAAAAAGCAAGUUGGGGUCUUGUAAGCUGGUUAACUGUACUGUGUUGGGGUUUGGUUUUGGAUGAGAAUUGGGCUGGUUUGGGAAAUGAUCAGGCCAAAUAUUGAUCCUGUGGCAUAGUGGUAGUGAUGGUGGCCGCAAUGGUAGAUCAAAGGUGGUGGUAGUAGUAGUGAGAUAGCUGUCCCCUCUCAUACUCAACUCUGAGGUUUUGAGAAUAACACCAUUCACAUGUUUUGAAACCUAAGAUAGUAGGAUUUUAAACCCCACCACCUGCAAAAUGUUCCAAACAAGGCAAUUUUGUUUUUCCUAAGAAAAAGGACUUCUCAAAUUCCAUAUUAACAUGAGAUCUUUCUUCAACUUUAAUAUUCCAAGUGGACUUGAAGGGUCAAAAUCACUUAUUUAUUUUCACCUUACUAGAAGAACAUUUCUAAUCUUUAGAAGGGAUCUUUCUUUUGUUACUGUUUGGAACAUUAUGGUAGAUAACAUGAGAAAGAAGCCUCAGAAAGGUGUUCUGCAUGUUGGUUUUGGUGUAUUUGGGAGAAGGGAAAACCCAAAAUUUGAAGAAUGUGGAGCUACCCAUUUUUAACUUGAAAAGUUAACCAUCCAAAUAGUCUUUCCUUUGGAGGUUCUGCAAGGGAGUAUAGCCUUCUCAAUAAUUCUUUUGAGUUCUUAAAUGAGAUAAGAUGUUGGACUUUUCCCCCUUAUUUUUCUUGUUUGCUCAUGUAUAUGCUACAUUAUUUUGUCUUCUAUAUUUUUUAUUAAUAAAAUUCUCUUGUUUACAAAUUGGAAAAGAAAGAAAUGAUGGCCUUCACUAAAGAAUAAUAUGCUGUUUUUUUUUCUACUAAUGCUUACUGUUGCAGGUUUGUGUGGCCUCGUGACCUUUGCUAUGUGCGUUAUUGGUGUCGAAAUGAUGAUGGAAGUUAUGGUAAAUGGUUUGCUUGUCCAGUUGUUUAUUUUUCCUGGUUCUUGUCCUUCUCUUUUUCAUUUGGAAACAUCCAAGUUAUUUUUGUUAUUGUGCAGUUGUGUUAUUUCGUUCUAGGGAGCACGAGAACUGUGGUCCGCAACCAGGAUGUGUGCGUGCCCAUCUUGAAAGUAAAGGCUAAAUCUUUUUUUUUUACACUGAGAAUUCAAGGGAUUAACACUGAUUUAGAUCGGUAGUUUGUUUAAUUCAUGCUAGGCCAUCUCAUCGACACUAUGUGAUCUGUUUUCUCAGGUGGGGGAUUCAUCAUUUCCCCUCUAAAACCUCGAAAUGGGAGGCCCAGAACACAGGUUCAGCAUCUUAUGCAAAUUGAUCUGAAAGGAUGGGGCACUGGUUAUAUUUCAUCAUUUCAGCAACAUUGUGUCCUUCAGAUGUUAAAUAGUGUUGCUGGUAAAUUUUUUUCUACUUUCUUUUUCUCUCAAACUUCUAAUUUUACACUUGUUAGAAUUUGGAGGGCAAUGUUGCAGAUUUGUAUUAAUUUGAGAAUCUGAAGACCUUUGUGCUUCGAAACCACUCUUUUGCCUAAAUUUCUUUGAACAAGAUAAUUUGAUAAGGGUAUUAUUGGAACAAUAUAAGUAUACAAAGAAGUGCUUUUGGCUUCAUAUAAUAGUAUAUAUACUUUUAGCAGGAUAUUUUACAGAAAGAAUUCUUCAUGCUUAGGUUAAAAUAACUCAAAAUAUUUGAACAACUUCAAAUGGUAAUGUUAUGUCCUUUUUCUUUAUCCAAUAAAAUUUGGAAAGGUUAUUAUUAGAAGAUACAUGAGCAUAUCUAGAGGUUCUCUUGGCUCUAUAUAACAAAUAUAUAUUUCCAUGAAGAGCUAGAGAACAAAUGGAGAUCCAUGGGGGUUAUUUAGGAUUUGGUUCACUUUUCCUCCCUCUAUUUUUAUUAUUGAUUGUUUUCCGGGUACUCUUUAGAACCUUUUACUGCUGGAUUGGAAAUAUAUUUGGUACUCUAAAAUAUCACAUGUAAGGACAAUACUUAAUUGGUCACAUCCUCCAGUAGGUUUGAUAAAGUUAAAUUUUGAUGGGUAUUCCUUGGGUAAUCUUGGUAUAUUAGGUAUAGGAGGUGUGAUAAGAGAUCAUUUGGGUACCGUACUUUGGACUUACUCUAAACCUAUUGGGAUGGAUUCAGCUAUUGAGGCAAAGAUAUUAGCAUUAUUAGAGGGCUGGUUGCAAGUUAAAGCUUGUGGGUUUAUCUAACCUAAAUGUGCAGGGAGAUUCUUCUGUUGAGGCUCUUGGAAGUUUGAAACUUAGCCCAUGAAAUUUAAAUAUUUCUAGUGAUGUGGCAUACUUGUUCUUUUAGGUUCUUCGUUGAGCUAUUCAAACCAUACUCUAGUUAGGUAAGCAGGGAGUAAAACAUUUAGUUUCGUGUUAGAGACAUUUUUUCUCCUUGAGUAUAUAGAGCAUUUUGUAGAGUGUACAUUACUUUUCAUGUCUGUAAUUUGUGUUUUUUUGCUCAGCUAGUUUUUCUACUUUCUGUUCAGCAAUUGUACAUCUUGGAGGGGAUUAUCAUCCUUCUUUGUAUAUAUCGUUCAAUGUAACGAGUGUUUUUUGUUUGUUUCUCUGUGUGUGUGUGUGUGUGUGCACAUUACAUCUUGAAUGGAUCCUUCUGUGCAUUUAUCAUUCAAUGCAAUGAAUAUUGCUUUUGUGUGUGGAAGGACACUCCUAAUGUUUUCCAACUAUACUUGGUUGGCUGCGGAGAAUGUCAUCUUAUCAUUUUAUGUCUAAGGGGUGUGACACCAAAUUCCUUACUCUUUCGCCUUUUCCAUGCCUUAAUAUCUUUCAACAUGCGAUUUUAACGUCUUGGUGAGAAAUGCUAAAAAAAUAGCCUCUGCUAAGAAAAAUGGAAAGGACGUUGAAGGUCUCUGUGGAGAGGAAGACCGUCUUGGUUAGGUGGGAAGGCGAGCACGGAGGAAAUUGGUGCUCGAUUACAGAGCACAGUAGAGGCUAUGUUUAUGCCUUAGGAUUCGAAAAAGAAGAAGUUGGGUGGUUGAUCGAACUUUUGACGAAAGCCAUUGAAUUGAAGAGUCACUUGGGGUUCAAUAGAAAGUAUAGGGGAAAAUCCUGUGUCCAUUUGAUGGAAGUAUACUUCAACAAUCACGAAAGGUUCAUAAGGAUUUCAGAGUUCGCUACCAACAGAAAACCAACUUUUCUGGUUAUUCCUGAGGAUGAGAAGGGCAGAGGUUAGGAGAAUCUAAAAAGCGCUCUGUCUUCUUUGUUGGUGGUCCCCCCAUUGAAUGCAUAUGAAAAAGGAAGACAAUACAGAGUGGAAAGGUUUAACCACAUUCACGUGGGUCCUCUAUAUAGGUCUUUUGCGAACGUGGUUAGAGAUGAAGGACCAAGGAGAGGUGGACUUGUUCCGAUUGGAAGGUAGGCGCGAGCCAUGGUGUGUGAAUGCAGUGCAGAUUGUGGUAAAUGGGCUGAGAUUGGCCGAGCUGUAGCGAGAAGCUUAGGGAAGAAGGGAGUGGCUACGAUUGUGCCCUUCUCAGGCAGAAAAGGUGUUUUUUUUGUUGAAACGAAAGAGGAAGCUCUCUUUCUCCACGAUUUAAGGUUUAUUAAGAUUGAGGGAGGGAAUUCACUUCAGUUGAGAAGGUGGUCACCAAAGGAAAAUUCGAUAGUUGAGGGGAAGUUCAGAGGAGGUGGGAUUGAGCUACAGGGUGUGCCAUUUCAUCUCUGGUCUGAGGUACAUUUGAAGAAAUUAGUGGAACAAUGGGGGACGGUGAUUGAAAUUGAUUGGUGAACGUUGAAAUUGUUUGAUCUUAGCAAGGCGAGGGUAAGAAUCGUAAUAAAGGAGCGGACAAUUCUUCUAGCUUUGAUUUAGGUGAUUGACGGGGAUUGGGUGUUUACUAUUUCUGUCGCAGUGGUCGGAGGUGAAGAGAUCAGGAGAGGCAGAGUAAUGGGUGAGUCGACUCGGGAGGGAUUUGAAUCUCACUCGGGGACAGGUGGUGGAAGGCGGGAGGAGAAAGACAGAUCUACGGCUGGAGGUAGUUUUCGUGUUGGGGAAGUUGGCAGAAAGAAGAAGGAAGAAGAAAGGUGUUCGGCUGAAGUUCUUCCUGCGGGGACACGUGGUAAGAAUGGUCAAUGCAUGGGGAACAAUUGGCUCAGUUUGAAUUCAAAAAAACUGAACUAUGGGCCUGUUGGGACAGAGAUGGCGGGCGAAGCUUCGGCCGGUGGGGACGAGACCUUCUCAGGCGAGAAUGGUCGGGCCUUUGAGAGAGAGGCCUAGUCUCUCUCCAAUUUCAGCUCAAUAGCAAAAACGGGCUGUUUAUUAAAAGGCUCGAUGAGGAUGGACCUAGGAACUGAAGAAAAGAAGCCCGUUGGAAAGUUGGGAUCGUUACGAAAUGAAGGUGGUUCUGCAAGGGGAAAGGGGAAAGGAGUUGCAGCUGAGUCUGAUGUUCAGACGAGAGGAUCUACGAAGAAGGAAGUGAAGUUCGGUUCAAAGAAGCUGUGGAAUACCCUAUUUCCCCUAAGUUCCGCUCGUCGACAUGGUUCUCGAAGUCGCAGUGAGCCUCUUCUGCUCGGGAAGCCUUCGUCGAGUAGCGUAGAGCUUCCUAUGGAGGUGGCUUUCGGGGCGGGAGCUCAGUGGGAACGAGGACUCAGCGCGAGCCCUCUCUUCAUGUGUCGAUCGUUUAGAAAGUGGUGCUCGUGGGGAGGGGCAUCGUCAUCUAAAGGCAGAGACGCUGCGCGCAAACCAUUUCAUGAAGAAGAAAGGGAAGGAUUUUUGGGCUAAGUGGGGUUUGAUCUUUGUGGUGCUUCAGUCAUGUUUUUGCCUUCUAAUCCUGAAAUCAGAGGUAAAGGGCUCAACUUUUGGGGGAAUCGUGGAAUUUUGGUAGCGGAAAACUUGGAGGUAAUCUCAUCCUCACCUUCUCAGUCUCCCGUGUCUUCUUUUCCCUCUUCUUUUGGGUUGGCACUUCCAUUUCCGAGCCCUUCUGCUCCCGUUUUUCCUAGUUCAGUCAUUCAGCCCCCAGUUCACAUGGAAAAUCGAGGAAUUUUCGAUUGUUUUUCCAAAAAUGACGAUGGUGGUACUUUCUGUCAGAAUGGUGUUGGCAUUCCAAACCUGGUUAUGGUGGAGUCCCAGUCUGCUUAUUCAAACCAGUUGCCCGAGAGUCUGAACCUCAUUAAGUCUAAACCCAAUGUGCCUAGUGAGGUUUCCAACCUGGUUAUGGUUAGCCAGGGUAAUGCUGCGGUCUCCCCAUCGGGCGAGUUCUAAAUUGAAGGCCUAUCUCCCAGGAAAAUGGCUAAAGUGCGUGAGAUUUUAAGCUCUCUAGAUAUUAAGGUUUAUUCCAGGAGGAAGAGCAGAUGCUCUACAGGAUUGUGAGACCUGGUGGUACCGGAUUGGGGGUUUAGGGUCUAUGUUGUUUUUCCAUGAAAAUAAUAAGUUGGAAUACCAGAGGUUUGGGAUCAAGGAAAAAACGAAGGGUGGUCAAAGAUUUUCUGAGGUUAGGGAAUCCGGAUGUAGUGAUGAUACAGGAAACAAAAAAGAUGGAGUGUGAUAGAAGGUUUGUGGGUAGUAUUUGGACGGUAAAAAAUAAGGAUUAGGCUGUUUUGCCGGUGUGCGGGGCUUCAGGUGGGAUUUUGAUAAUUUGGGAUUCUAAUAAACUGCGCAGUGAGGAGGUGGUAAUAGGAUCCUUUUCGGUCUCGAUCAAGGUUGCUUUGGAUGGAUGCAGACCUCUUUGGUUGUCCGUAGUUUAUGGCCCAAAUAGUCCCUUACUUAGGAAGGAUUUUUGGGUGGAGUUGUAAGACAUUUUUGGUCUAUCUUUUCCAUUAUGGUGCAUGGGCAGUGAUUUUAAUGUCUUAAGGAGAAGUUCUGAAAAAUUGGGAGAAUCUAGUCUAACUUCAAGCAUGAAGGACUUUGAUGAUUUUAUAAGAGAAUGUGAAUUGCUUGAUCCACCUUUACGGAAUGCACCAUUCACUUGGUCAAACAUGCAAGAGACUCCUGUGUGUAAAAGAUUGGACCGUUUUCUUUACUCAAAUGAGUGGGAGCAAUCCUUUCCUCAAAGCCUUCAAGAAGUUCUUCCUAGAAGGACUUCGGAUCAUUGGCCGAUUGUUUUGGAAACCAACCCGUUCAAGUGGGGCCCAAUACCUUUUAAGCUUGAGAAUAUGUGGUUGCAACAUCCUAAUUUCAAAGAGUGCUUUAAAAGUUGGUGGAGAGGUUUUCAAGGAACUGGGUGGGAAGGUCACAGGUUCAUGAGGAAAUUACAAUUUGUGAAGGCCAAUUUGAAAGAGUGGAAUAAGGUUUCUUUUGGAGUGCUAGAUGAAAGGAAGAAAAACAUCCUGAAUGAAAUAGCUAACCUUGAUGCCAUUGAGCAAGGAGGGGGUCUCACUUCUGAACUUUUAGUUCAAAGAGCUUUAAGAAAAGGGGAAUUAGGGGAAUCAAUUUUGAGGGAAGAAAUUCAUUGGAGAUAAAAAGAUAGGGUGAAAUGGGUAAAGGAAGGGGAUUGUAACUCAAGGUUUUUUCAUAAAGUGGCUAAUGGUAGGCAAAAUAGGAAAUUUAUCAAGGUGUUGGAGAAUGAAAGAGGAUUAGUGUUGAAUAAUUCAAAGAGCAUCAUAGAGGAGAUUUUACUUUACUUUGAAAAGCUCUACUCGGGUCCUACUGGAGAGUCUUGGAGAGUUGAAGGCUUAGAUUGAUCCCCUAUAUCUGUAGAGAGUGCAUCUAGGUUGGACUCCCUUUUUACUGAAGAAGAGAUUUAUAAGGCUAUUUUUCAGUUGGAUAGGGAUAAGGCGCCGUGUCCUGAUGGCUUUACUAUUGUAGUGUUUCAAGAUUGUUGGGAUGUGAUCAAGGAGGAUUUAGUGAGAGUGUUUGCAGAGUUCCACAGUAGCGGAUUUAUCAAUCAAAGCACUAAUGCUUCCUUCAUAGUUCUGUUGCCCAAAAAAAGCAUGACAAAGAAAAUAUCAGACUAUAAACCUAUUAGCUUGAUCACUAGUCUUUACAAGAUAAUAGCUAAAGUGUUAUCAAGGCGUCUAAGAAGGGUACUACACGAAACUAUUCAUUCUACUCAAGGCGCUUUUGUUCAGGGGAGACAAAUAUUGGAUGCAGUUCUCAUAGCCAAUAAGAUGGUGGAUGAGAAAAGACGAUCAAGGGAGGAAGGAGUCGUAUUCAAAAUCGACUUUGAAAAGGCUUACGACCAUGUGUGUUGGGAUUUUUUGGAUCAUGUGUUGGAGAAGAAGGGGUUUAGUCCUAGAUGGAGGAAAUGGAUGAGAGGUUGUUUGUCCACGGUAUCUUUUGCAGUCUUAGUGAAUGGAAACGCUAAAGGGUGGGUCAAGGCAUCCAAAGGCUUAAGACAAGGCGACCCUUUAUCCCUCUUUUUGUUUACUUUAGUCGCAAAUGUACUGAGCAGGAUGUUAUUGAGAGCAGAAGAAAGAAAUUUGUUGGUGGGUUUCAGGGUGGGUAGGAAUAGAACAAGGGUGUCCCAUUUGGAAUUUGUAGAUGAUACCAUUUUCUUCUUUAACACUAGGGAGGAAGAUUUGCAUUCUCUCAAGAGUUUAUUGCUAGUGUUUGGGCAAAUUUUUGGGCUUAAGGUUAACCUCGACAAGAGUAAUAUUUAUGGCAUCAAUCUUAAACAAAAUCAUCUUUCUAGGUUGGCCAAAUUGCUUGAUUGCAAGGUUUCUGGGUGGCCUAUACCCUACUUGGGUCUCCCUUUGGGAGGAAAUCCCAAGACUUGUGGCUUUUGGGAUCCUGUGAUUGAGAGGAUCUCGAGAAGAUUAGAUGGGUGGCAAAAGGCCUUUUUAUCUUUUGGAGGUAGGAUAACUCUUAUCCAAUCUUGCCUCACCCACAUGCCUUGCUACUACUUCCUUUCCUUGUUUAAGAUACCCGCUUCAGUGGCUGCAAAAAUUGAGAGAUUGCAAAGAGAUUUUUUAUGGUCAGGGGUUGGGGAAGGUAAAAGAGAUCAUCUUGUUAGUUGGGAUGUAGUGUGUAAGCCGAAGGCAAAAGGAGGUAUGGGAUUUGGGAAGAUAGUUCUAAGGAAUGUCGCACUCUCAGGGAAAUGGUUGUGGAGGUACCCUAGGGAAGGUUCAGCUCUAUGGCAUAAGGCUAUUCUAAGCAUUUACGGAUCACACUCCAAUGGAUGGGAUGCCAACACAAUAGUCAGAUGGUUACAUCGUUGUCCUUGGAAGGCUAUUGCUCAAGUCUUUCAGGAGUUUUCCAAGUUUACUCGAUUUGUGGUAAGAGAUGGGGAAAGAAUUUGGUUAUGGGAAGACUUGUGGUGGGGGGAUCAACCUUUGGGUUCUCAAUAUCCAAGACUAUUUAGAGUAGUCACGGAUAAAAAUAGUCUUAUUUCUUCAAUUCUCGGAUCUACUCAUCCUUUUUCAUGGAACUUUAACUUUCGACGCAACCUAUCCGAUCCUGAGAUAGAUGAUUUAGAAGGCCUCAUGCGGUCACUUGAUUGUCUACAUGUGUCAUUUUCGGUUCCAGAUGCGAGAUCCUGAUCCUUAUCUUCUUCAGGGCUUUUUACAGUCAAAUAUUUCCUUCUUGCCUUAUCCCAAUGUUCUAGUUCUCCACCAGUUUUCCCUACUAAGUGUGUUUGGAAAUCUCAAGUCUCUUUCAAAGUCAAGUCCUUUGUCUGGUUGGUGGCACACAGGAAGGUAAAUACUAAUGACUUGCUGCAUCUGAGAAGACCCUACAAAGCUCUUAGUCCUGAUAUUUGUAAGUUGUGCAUGAGGCAUGGAGAAUCAGCUGAUCAUCUUUUCUUACAUUGUUCUUUGACGAUGGGGUUAUGGCACAGAUUAUUUCAGUUAGCCAAGAUGGAUUGGGUUCCCCCAAGGAGCAUUUCUGACAUGCUGUCCAUCAAUUACAAUGGCUUUGGUUUAUCGAAGAGAGGGAUAGUUUUGUGGCAAGAUGCUUGUAUAGCUAUAAUUUGGGUUGUGUGGAGGGAAAGAAAUGCGAGGAUUUUUUAGGAUAAAGCAAGGAAUUCAGAGAAUCUUUGGGAUUUCAUUUCCUUGCUUCUCUUUGGGCUUUUUGUUCCAAGGUUUUUAAGGGGACUCCCCUUACUGUGUUACAACUUGAUUGGCUAGCGGCGUGUAAUUCCUUUGGGUUUGUCUAGUCUAGAGAGUUUGUUCGUUUUUUACUUUGUAUUUUCUUGUUUUCGUAUUCUUGUUGUUUAGUUUUCUUUGGUGGAAGGAUUUCUCAUCCUUCUCUUGUACUUCUUUUUUCUUUUAAUAUAUUCCUUUGUCGCUUCCUAUCAAAAAAAAAUAUUGCUUUUGUGUGUGUGUUUGUGUGUUUUCAUGAAGAUAUUCUACUACAAAGGGAAAAGAGUGCUUGUGCUUGGUGCAAAGAUGCUAAAAUCUUGCAAACAACUUUGGAAGGCAAUAUCUGUAUCCAUUUUUCUGUCAUGUUAUUUGAUAUUUUCUGUUGAAAUUUUAUAAUUUUUUUCUAGGAUUUUUUUAUCCAGUCUGCUUUAUAGAUUUAGACACUGAUAAUACAGAAUUUAUGUCAAUAGAGUUAACAGCAGGAGAAAGAAAUAUAAGAGCUUGUAACUUUCUUCUUUAUUUUCAUAAAGAAUUUCAUUCCUGCUUUAUUUUUUGUUUUAUUCUGAAGGAACUUUUUUAAUUUGUCUACUUAAUUGAAUCCUUGUUUAUAUUUUAUGAUAGGACUGCGUGAGUGGUUUUCUCAGACGGAUAAAAGGAAUGCUCUGCCAAGAAUUCCUGUUAUGGUCAAUAUGGCCUCAACUUCUUUUACUUCAGAGAAGAAUCAGAAGCCACAGGAGUCUUCUGAUCAAUUGAAUGCUACAAGUAGGAACUCAAUGAUGAUGGAUGAAUACUCUGAUGAAGAUGAAGAAUUUCAAGCACCCGAGACAGAACAAGAGGUUUGUACUACACACCUGCUCUUAUGUUUUAUGCACAUACCUUCUCUAAACAUGAAUUUUGCACAUUAUUCAGGCAUACUCAAUGAGUCUUCCGAAUGAAGUCAAAGGAACAGGUACUGCCUUGUAUCUAUGUUUUUCUUAUGACAUUUGGUGCUGGAUCCUUAUGUCUGAUAUAUCAAAUGGAACUUUACAAUCAUUAUGUUCAUCAUGAAUUGAAGCCAUGGAAGAAGAACCCCAAGAUAAAAUUGAUGUCUCAUGUUUUUCGGGCAAUCUACGACGUGAUGACCGUGAUAAGGGUCGUGACUGCUGGACGAUAUCUGAUGGGAACAACUUCAGAGUUCGUAGCAAGCAUUUUUGUUAUGACAAAACGAAGGUUCUCUGGUCCUCUGCUUGUUUCCUUUAGUUAGUAUUUCUUGAAUUUUCUUGAUCAACAUCUUAUGACCUUAUUAGGCCUGCUUUAAUGACGAUCUUCCAACAUGUAUUUGAAGAUUCCUGCAGGGAAACAUCUUAUGGAUCUUGUUGCUGUUGAUUGGUUCAAAGACUCAAAACGGAUCGACCAUGUUGCUAGGCGACAAGGCUGUGCAGCACAAGUACUAUAUUCUAUUCUUUUCUGACUUAUAUGUACUUAUUUUAUUGAUAGUGAAUCAAAGUCAAUUACUUAUUUCUAUAAUACUUUUCUCUCUAAACCACUAAAACCCUUUGUUAAGAAUGCAGCAUCUGUGGUAUUAGAAAAAUAUGAAAAUCCUCUUCCUCCUUGCCAAUGCUACCUUUUCCAUCUACUAGGUGAUACCUUUUAUCCUAAAGCUCAGUUUGUUGGUACUGCUCUGGUUUGUCAGAUUGCUGCUUAGUAUUUGAUUAUUAAUUCAUAUACCAUCAUUUAGAAAAGCAAGCAUAAUACCAUUUUAGAACUUCUCUUUCCUGUCCUAAUGAUUAGCAUGCACACUGUCCACAAUAUAAUCAUUAACUCCUCAGUCUUCUUCAGCAUCAUCGUGACUGUCAUCAUCACCCUUAUAGUAUCUAGAGGUACUUAUUCCACAUGCAUUUGCUCAUUGUGUUACCGUCUGUGGUUCCAUAGUUCCUUACCUAGUUUCUUGUUUAUUGUUGGUUUUGAGUUUUGAAAUUGAGUAGACAUAGAAGAUUAUAAACAAAGAAUAGUUGCUUUAUUUGAUUCCUUGGGUUUUCUUUGCAUCUGAAAUUUUGAAAAGAUGAAGAAAAAUACAGAAUAAGUUUCUCAUGUAUACCACUUUGUGCAAAUAUUAAUCAUUAUGAACUAUGUCCAAUGUUUAAAAAAUUGGGAAAUAUCAUGGAUAUUUCCUGAAAAUUUUGUGCUUAGGUCAUCACUGACAUGACAAAUGGAAAGAAAACACUGACCAACUGUCUUUCGUUCAUUUUUCGAUAGUUUUUGCCCUUCUUUUUGGCUAAUUUCAGUAUUUUUCUAGUUUUUUUGCCAAUACUUUCAACAUUAUCCGAAUUGUUUCCAAUUUUCUGCCAAUAAUAUCCCACAUUGCGCUCCUAAUGAUUUUGCGCAUCCCUCAGUCAAUGUGUUGCUUCCUCUCCCAGGCUUAGUCAAUGGGGGCUCCUUCUCUCCCCUUAAUUCUUGCCAACUCCUUAGAUUUAAAAAUUGGGUUUUGAACCUAAGAUGACAAGGAUGAAAUGAGCCUUUCCUAACCACUGGAUCAUCUAUAUUGUUUGUAAUAAAGGUUCACAAAUAUAUAUACAUUUAGAUAUCCAUGGCAAAAACAAAAUGUUAAAAUAAAAUUUUGAUAAAUUAAUUAAUUUUAAUUAAUUUCUAAUUGAUUGUUAAAACAUAGAAAUUAUCAUGAUAAUUUUCUUAACAAGUAUUUAUGUAUAUCUUUUAUGUAUUAAUUAAAUAUAAGAGAAAUCUAAAUAUUCUAAAAUAAAUCAUAUAUGUAUCGUUAUUUCUUUUAUAUCCUUGAAUACAUUUAAAUUAAAUAGAUCAUUAUUUUAGCAUUAAAUAUGUUUUCAAUUUCGAUAUGUUAUUAUCAAAUAUUAAAAACUUUAUUGUACAAAUAUUACUUUCUUCACUAAAACAACUUUAAUGUGCAUAUUAUUACUUAUUUUAUCAUUUCUUAAAAACACUUUUAACAUUUUUAUGGGUUUUGAUCAAUUUCCAUCGCACCAGAAGUUUUUGUGAAAAUUUCCUUAGAUAUUUCUUGAUAUAUUUCGAUAUAUCCAUAAAAUCCACCUAUUGAUAUUUCCAUAAAAACUGAUAUUUUUAUCCUUCACUAUGUCUAUAGAGAAGAUUGUUAUAGAGAAAAUUGUGAAGGGCAUAUAUUUGCUCCUAUUGAUGAUAGGUUUAAUAUGCAGUUCUUUGUUUUGAAAAUUGAUUGCUUUUAUAAUGGCAGUAGUUCUGCUAAUAUUUUUUUUCCUUCUUAACAUGUGACUCUGUAUAAAAUUAUCCUUAAUAUACAAAACUUUCUUAUAUGUUUAGAGGCUUGUUGAACAUGAAUUCUACAAACAAGAUAGUUCUAUGUACUUUCUAUUGUUGACAUCCAAUUUCAUACUAGCAAUGGACCUAUGACGAUAAGCACUUUGACUAUCGUGAUAUGCAUAAUUAAAUGAUAUGCAGAACUUGUUUCAUUAUUAUCUCCACCCUUGUGGUUGUGUCAUCGAUUAUUGAUGCUGCAAGGAGGUAAUUACCACCGACCUAUUGCUGGAAAUAUUCCUCACUACCCUGUCAAGGGCCAACACCACUCCUACUGCUCUGACAAUGCAGAGAGGACACCUACUAUCUAGUACCCAUAUUAGGAUAGAAGCCUUUACAUCAUGAGGUCAAUGGGGGAGCUAUCUUGAGUACCCUCACAUGCUAAGGUGGGCCACUUCCCUUUGUCCCCUGGUUGGCUUUCAACCCUUUGCACUCUAUCAAGACGAUAUGUCAUGCCCCAAAACCCACUCCAAGGGCAUGACAGUCAUUUCACACCUCAAACUCGAAGGUUCAAAGUCAAAACGACACAAGUUUUCAUCUUGUAAAUAGAAAUUACCAAUUACCAAAUUGUUGUUCAAAGUAGUAAAAUAAAUAAAUUCUAAAAUCUCCAGAUAUCAAUUUAUAAAAACCAACACAUCAACUCAAGUGUUAUUGUCCAAAUAACUUCAAACUCAAAUAAUUCAAAUUGAAAAUAAAUUUUAACAUUUAAAUAAUGUUCAAAAUAAAAAGAGUUUUAACAAAUGUCCUAACAAGCCAAUUUCUCCUCCAAUUUCUCCUCCUAACCGUCACUCCUCGCCUGAAUUGAGGGUACCUGGAAAAUUAUCAACAAAGGGGGAUGAGCUCAAAGCCCAAUAAGGAACAUUAACAUAGUUUCAUAGAUCAAUUAUUUUCAAUUAUACUUAUAAACAG